rnacentral:lncRNA from 1 species
CUUCUUCUUUCUUUGUUGAAGCAGUCUUUUUCGGCGGCAAUCAUGGGAGAAAGAAGAAACAGGAAAAUGCAUUAUGCAAUAUGCAGGCGACGCCACCAACUUACAAGCUCCUCUUCCUGUUUACAAGCUCUACUUUUUACGCUUUAUUUGUAGUAUAUAUAUAUAAUUAAUUUGGUUUGUUUGGAUAGCGUAUUAUUUGAAAUAAUUACUGUAUCACUUUUUAUGAUGUGAUGUAUAUGAGAUAAAAAAAUAUAAAAAAUUAGAUUAAAAAAUGUGUUUAUGAUACAAGUAAAAUAUUAUUUGGGAUAAUUUCACGGUCCAAACGAACAAAGUCUAGCAUUAGUUAGGGGCAAGACGAACCAGAAGAAACGCGUAACAUUGCUGUCAAAAAAUUCCCCAGGGGAAUUAGUUGUCAGAAUUGGAGUGCCAGGUUCUCUUGCAAACUUUUGACUCUAACCGUUUCCAUUAGCAUAUCUUCCAUUACUGUGAAGAGAUGGAUAGAUUGACCGUCGUUUUGUACGUGGAUCGAUCCCUCUUUUUUUCUGCCAAAAUCCCUCUUUGUUUCUUUCUUUCCGUGACGUUAUUAAGGUGAAAUGUUGGGAGUCAUUUGACAUGAUACAUUGGGAUUUUCUCUUUUUUGCGUUGAGAAAUAUUUAUUGUAGAUGAAGAGAAAGAAUGAAAGAAAGAUAUACGCGUAGAAGUUUUACUUCCAAUUUCUCCAAAAACGUGACGUAUCCCACAAACUAAAGAGUCCAACUCACCGACCAACCCAAAUAAGCCACAGAGACAGAGACAGAGACAGAUGGGAGUUGGCAGCAGUCCAAAGUUUGGUACCGACUAAGUCCAAACCACAUCAAAUAAGUCUGUGAGGUUAAUCUUUGACUCCUACUUCCCUACCUACUUACUUCUCCAGGCCCUGCCCAAAGCAGCGAAAGUGAAAGAGAGUUGUAGACGGCCUUACGUAUGGCUCCUCCAGCCUCAACCCAAUUCAAAACCCAGACCGACCAGAAUCGUCAUGAAAGCCUCAAGGACAGCCACUUCCAAGCCCAAUAGCAUAUUCACGUUUAAAACCCAAAAAAAAAAAAAAAAAAAAAAAAAAAAAGAGGCAGAAAGAGAGAGGGCAAGCCGUUCAUACACAUGGAACACAAAUGAAUGAUAAUUCUCCGUUAUUUGAAUCCACCAACACUGUACAAAAACAAACGACUGGCCUUCUAUUCUACUGAAAGAAUAGCUUAAAGAAACACCGGCAAAGGAAGCAACCAAAAAAUGGCAUCAUCAAUCUAUCUUCGCUGUAUUUACAUUCUAUCUUCGCUCUGUAUCUACUGCAGCCAUGGUUUGAUAAUCCAUGGAAGCAGACAGCAAAGAUGCUUUGUCAAAGGCUCUUGUACUAAACACACUAACACUGUCUCAAUAGUCGGAUGAAGUUAGGCUCCUCCUCUGGAGAAGGGAAGUGAGGAUCGAGCAGCAUCUGCUAUACUAGAGUCAGCAGGAACAAAAGUUGGAGGUGCAGGUAGAUCAGAUGGAAGCAGUGAUCAGGGGAUGAUGCAAAAGAAGUCUGAGGUUUGCUCCUCCUAUUUUCUUCUGAGCUUGGCGUGGAUUUAGUUCCUACACCAGCAGCAACAGCUGGCGGCACACUGCUUGAGUUUCUUGGUAUGGAUGCAGUUGAUUCCUCAACAUCAUCAUAACCUGCAUGAGGACCAUAGACUUAUUCUACGAAUGAACAAAGCAUUGUUUUUAAAAAUAAAAAUAAAAAUUUACCGUUGUUAUUUUUUAACAAAUGAACAAAAGCAUUUGUGCAGUUGCGAACUGAAAUCUCAUCUGUAGCAAGGGACUCACAGUCAAACUUCUUCCAUCCCAGCACAAGUUUUUCUCGGUCGAAGACUACACGGUAGCCAGUCAUAAAGUUUUCUGCACGGAAAUACAAGUAAAUGCAGCAUAUCACGCCAUAGAUUAUAACAUGAAAAAAAAAAAAAUUUGCUCAUAGAACACAAUAGAAGCUGCCUUUUACAAUUCAAGAUUACAAAGGAACAGCUAUAUAAUUGGAAAAAGCAAUGUUAAGAUUUAACUGUCAUGAAUAACUUCAUUCUUCCUCCCCCAGCCACUAACAUUUGAAGACUUGCAAUAUUAUCUCAACAAUUUGUCUCUCCACAACUAAUUCAAAUUUGUACAAAAUGAGCAUUCUCUGAAUCAAAGAUACAUAAUAUCUUCUGGUUCCAGCGAGAAAGCAAAUGAACAAUAUGCAACAGGUGUCCAGGGUCAUGAGUUUCACCCUGGCACUCAACUUUUUAACAGACAAGUCUUGUAAGAAAUAUCUAACCUCUCCAAAUAUGCAUGAAACUAGUCGAACCGAUUUUUCCAUGCCAUCAUUUGAUGUUAAAACUGAGAAACUCAAAUGAUGGGAAUAGAAAUUUUCGAAACUUCCAAAAGACAUAGAUUACCACUCACGUCCAAUUAUAUUGAAGUCUUGACUCUUGACAACAGCAAGGCAAUAUAUAAGUUGAUGCUGCAAAACGCAAGCAAAACAGAAGUCAAUAUAACUGGAUGGUUAAGAAAAGUUAGAUUUAAUAAUUAGGAGAAGCAAUAGAUUUGUGAUCCUACCUGAGUGGAGAUGACAAUGAUUGGAUCAUACACAACAUACUGACCACCACCUUUAAGAGUUAAGCUAAUAGUAGGAAUCAAACUAGUGUUUGCGUCAGGACUGUUCAUCAUAGUGCAGAAAAAACAAACAAACAAUAGAUAUGAUUAUGCUGCUAGAAAGUGAAAAGAAAAUUGACCAAAAAAGACCAGCUAUAAAUUUGAUCAUGACCUCAUAUCAUAACAAUACUCAAAUGGGAUCCUUGCAUCAGGUAGGUGGCGCUUAUCUCGUGCUUGUAAAUGGAACUGAAAAACAAAAAGUAUACAUGAGCCGUAUUCUUGACAUAAAAAAUAAGACUUAGUGGUUCUAUGAUUUGAGAUCUUACGUUUUCCAAAAUCAUUGAAUAGGCAGGGUCAACAAGAUACGUGAAAGAGGUUCCAGAAUCAAAAAGAGCUGUAAAUUCUGAAUCAAUGAGAGCAGUUCCCACACGAAUUUGGACAACGCUGAUAUUGUAAGUUGGGCUGUGAAGCAGUUUCAGGCAAAAAGACAAAGAUUUUUUAAGCGAUUAAGAUUGCAAAGGCAAAAGAAAGGAGAAAAUAUCCGAAAAGAAUGAAAAUUACCACUUACUGUAAGGGAUUCACGUUGAAUGGAGUCUCUUCCUGAUCAAGGCUUCCCUUAUCUCCAAAGUUGAUCCUUCCAGUGCCAUCAUGGCCAAAACACAUAGAGAAAGAAUCAGCUGUAUAACCUUUUUGCGAUAAAAUGCUAGGAACUGAUAUCUUCUCCAAGCCAAGCCCAAACAGACCAUUUGGAGCUGCCACAUCUAGAAAAGAUCCAGUUUGAACCUGUCCACAACUGCAGUGAAUUUAUAGAUAUUCUCAGUAUGUGUUUGAAAUCAUAAGCAACAAAAGGGAAAUGUUCACCUUGCAUGCCAUGAUGAAACUAAGUAACAAGAAGUUCUAAAAUAUUUUAGUUUGAGAAUUGUAGCAACACUCUCACCAAAAAGAAAAUUAAGUUUGAGUCAAACUGCAACUGCUGAGAUGCAUGGCAUGGACAGAUAUGGAGCUUACAGAUCAAAGUACAAGGACUUGAAUUAAAAAGCACUCUCAUCUGUAAAUAAGUUUUGAAUUAUAAACUAAGAGGUGGAAAAAGGUAAUGUCGUAUUGUAUUAGCGAUUAAUUCCCACCAAAAUCUAGAAACUUACCCAAAAAUUAUGUAUGCCUGAACAUGUCCUUCAUGGUCAUCUUCACUUUUCAAGUGUAUAAUGUCCUCCACUAGUAUUCCAGAAGUUGAAGUUUCAGAUGAGACAUAGGAUACAGAGUAAGGGCAACGACUAGAAGUAUCAAGACAAUCAGCCUGGUGUGAGCAAAAAUGGUUGUUGCAAGUAACUGUCUUGCUUGUUAAUGACCCAUUUAGGUUGUAUAUGCUAAGCUCAAAAUCCUGCAGCAAGGAACUAAGCUAGUUGAAGAUAAUCAGAAGUCGUUUGAUGAGUUAGCAAUAUCUAUGCAAGACGUUAACAGAAAUCAAUGACUGCAUGCUGAUUUUAACAAUCAAGAAUGGAAUUUUGUAAUAAUGCUGACGACUAGCAAUGAGGAGGGGUGAGGGUUGAGGAUAAAGAAAUUUCUAAUCAGAAAGCAGCAUCCAUGCCAAAUGGUGCAGCUCACGUUAAUGUCGGAGAUUCCGCAUUGAAUUUAUUCAAAGAGUUAUUUUUGCUUCAUUUGGGAACGCAUCUUUUGCCUUACCAUAUUAAUGUAUAUCUGUAGGAAGUAAAAAUUCCUUCUUGUCAAAAGAACAUGAGAUAAAAGAAAACAGAUUCAAAGACCUAGAUCUCCAUAAACCUCAUGCUCUUAGUACAGCAAGAGAGCUAAGUUAAGACUCCAACAGGAAAUGGACCAUCAACAUUGUAGAGAUGGAUAACAUGCCUGCCCAUAUACAUACAGAGCUGCAACAUUGUGCAGAAGAUUAAAGCUAACGGCGUUAUCAACACCUACACAAGAACAUGAUUACAUGGGUGAAUUUCGGUUACAAUUAAUACUAGAGAUCCACAGCCUACUUCACAUUCCAAUUUAGUCCAUCGUCACGAGUACUUAUUGCAUUCUUUCCUCCAAUAAUUUUUGCCAUAUAACCACUGAUUCCUUUCCCUUUCUUAAAACUUUACCAUUUCCAAGCUUGUCAUUGUCAGCAGAAUUAAAAGAAACACCCUAUUAAGUAUUGAUAAAAGAACUAAAUAAGUAGUAGGAGACAAAAUUAACAAGAAAAGAUAAUACUUACUGGGCUAUGAAGUGGAUCAGCAAUAGAUGCACAUCUCCCACAUUCACAAGGCACCCAAAAUAAGUCACUCCCAGUAUCCAACGCCACCAUAAACUUCAUGCCAGGUGUCCCUACUGUCACUGUAGUAUAAUGCAAACUGCCCAAAACAACACGAGAAGGAAAAGGAAAAUAAACAAAAACCCAUGAAAAGGAGAGCAAUUAAAAAAUCGAGAAUCCAAAGAAAGGGAAGAAAAGAAAACACUACAAUCCCAAUAAAUUAAAAAAAAAUUGAUCUUUAUUACAAUCCUAAAGAGCUGAUCCGAAAAGUUGAGUUGCCGUCAGAAAAAGUGAGAAGUCCAUCAGAUUCUGAUAAACGCCGGCCCCUUAGUAGCCUGUCAUGGUUAGCCAGCUGUUGAUAGUACUCUACACUGCCCUUAGUAGGCCAGCUUUGGACCAUGAAGUUCUUGCCAGUUUUCUGGGACCAUUUCUUGAUGGGUUCAGAGAAUCGGUGGUGCAUUUCCAGAGUGAAAAUGUGGGCAUUUGAGCAUUGAAGAAGUAGCCAAAAACAAAGCAAUGUGAGCAAGAAAAUGAAGAAAGAUGACAUUUUUCUUGGUGAGUUUUGAUAAAGAUUUGCAUAGGAUGAAUGGAAGUUAAAACUUGAACAAUAAUGGAUCGGGGAAUUAUUGUUUUGCUGACGACAAGAAAAGGGUUAGGUACAGAGACAGAAGAGAAGAGGUGCAGCGAGUGCAUUAAAUGGGAAAAGAGGAAGAGGAAGAGGAAGGGGUGGUAGUUUGGUAGGGGUUCAUGGGGCGUUUUACUUUUUCACAGUUAAGGAAGAUGGUGUUGGAGGGAAAUUGGCUUCAAGCACAAGUCUUUAAUGCGGUGAGAUCCUCAGCCCAACUAGCAAAUCACUUUUCUCUUUUUCCUUCGUACCGGGAUUUUUUCCCUUUUUUGGUACUGGGCUUUCUUUGUUCUCUUCUUGAAUUUUUUUGCAUUGUGGUUCCCCGGGGGGUAUGGAUUGGAUUGUGGUUAUUUUCAAUAUGACAAAUGGUAAAUGGUUACUUCUGAAUAGUAUACACAAGCUAUCCCUGUGACAGCCUCAACAUUCUACAAAUCCUUUUCUUUUUCUUUUUUGGGUGGGGGAUUAAGACAAAAGUCCAUGUAUGGCUGCAUAGAAAGUAAACAUGCUCCCCCAUGUGACAAAUUUGCUACUAAUAGAAUUUAUCGGGUGAUUUUUUUUUUUGACAUAAUUUAUCUAUGAGGAUUUCUGCUACCUAACACUUGAAUAAUAAAUACCUUGAGAGGUUUUGUGAGGUCCGUCCAAGUACUCAUACCUACAGGUCUAGUUGUUAUCUCUGAACAAAGCAUGGUAAGCAACUAGCUAGAAUUAUUGUGCGGAUCGAGUAGGGGCUGUUGCUGCAUUUUGCUCUUUGCAAGAAAACUGGCUUAAGUUCUUCCCAUUCGUUGCUUUUUCUUUUCGCUGCCAGAUAAAGAUGGAGUUAAAUUUCCGCGACACAAUUAGCUUUACAAAAAUCAGGCCACUUUGGCUUUACUCCAGAUGCCUCAAAUGCUAGCACGUACCAAACAACAUUCAAGAUAUUUGAUCUGCAUUGUUUGAUGGACAAAUGGGAUGUAAUCACGAAAAGGAACUAAAAAUAAAAAUAAUUGCCACGUGCUUUACAUACAACCGAAUCAACUUACCUGAGCAGUAAAAUGCCCCUUAGUAAUAGUAUAUAUACUUCGAAUAAGAAUACAUUUCACCCUCAUCAGCUAUCGCAUAUAUUUACAUAGGAAAGCUCACAAUUUUGACAGUCCACGCUAACUCUAAGCCAAUACUACAAAAAGAACCCUCAAAACGGGCUGUCUCAACCGAAAAGAACUCAUUUUCCUUGUCUGAUGUCAUCUACCAAAAAUUUCAGGCUCUCAUGCUGGAGAGGCAGAGGUGAAACCGAAUCGAUCAGGCAGUUUUGUUCUGGUUAAUGGAGAAUAAUGCUCCAUCUGAUGAACGAACUGUACAUCAUGAACCAAAGGGUUACUGGUUCUGCCCGGAGGAGAUCCCGAGUAGAAGGAAAGUGAGCAUCCAUUACUGCACAAAGAUUCUCCCUCAUCCCUUGUCUGCAAUUUACAGCAUUGAUAAUGUCAAGAAGCUAUUAGAGGAAGUAUGCAUAUAAAGGCAUGAAUAUUGUCAUUGAGGACAUUAACAAACAUACCUUUUCGGUUGUAAUCAUGCUGAGAGUUCCACUUCUGCCAUCAGAAUUUAUUUGACUGAUAUUGCAGAAUGCAGAUUAAAAACAAGAAAACAAGAAUAAGUGCAAUGUCAAGUUGUCAACUAAGAAAAGCUCUGAUCAGUUCUAACUAACCUGUGACUGUUGCAUCCUAAGGUCCUGAGAAAUUCAGGAACAGAAGAUCCAAGCCGGCGAGGCUUUGGACAGAGGGGAGGAUUGUUGCAUCCGUACCCAAGCCUGGUCUCGGCUCCUGUAUCAACAACAUUGCUUUUAACUGAUAAGUGAUGCAUCUGCGUCCCUUACAAAAUGAGGAAAAUCAAAUCAGCGUCACAAGUGAUAAUAGACCGCUUUUAUAACUCUUCUUAAUUAUUUAUAACUCGUUGAAGCCGAGAAGAAGAGGACACAAGUUUAACAAUUUAAAGAUUAACCACAUGUUUAUCAUCAGAGUGAGAGAAAUGCUAGUGGGAUGAGUGAUUCAGCGCAGCGCAGUCACAGUGGGAGUUGGGACGGCAGAUGUUAUUUCUGGAAAGGGAGAAAAUGCUUUGCUUGGCCGAGAAUAGAUGUAGGGUUGGGCUUUUGUGCUCCUCUUUUUUCUGCAUUUCUUGUCUGGCCUAAAAUUGAUUUAGUCCGCGCAAUCCAUGAUUGAAGUUUUCUUCUACAACUCCGACGAUUAGGUGUCAUUUUCUAAGCUUGACUCGCGUAGGACAAUAUUCGAAGUGCCUGUUUUACAGGUGAUGUUAGCGUGCAAAGCAAACUUUGCGAGUAAUCUGUUGCUCUGUAGAAUGACUAUCUGAUCUCAUGUUUUCCGAUUAUUUUUCAGUUUUGAGGAUCGCAGAAUCGAAAUAUACUGGGGUACCAAUAUUGCCAGUAAUUGUUCUCUUCAUGCAGAAGACUGAGAUAAUGACAGAAGGAAUAAAAAAAUUCUUUAUAAUCCGAAGUGAUCAAGCUAUCCCUUUGGAAUUUUCGUUCUUGACUAACUGUUUCCUACAUCUCAACAACUAGUUCUAAUGAACUCCCUAGUUCCUCCAGGCAACCUCUCGAAUAAUAAUUCCUCAUGCUCUCCAUAUCUUCCAGACGAAAGCAACAAAAAUUAACAUGAACCUACAAUGGUAGCUUUGGCCUCUGUCUCGCUUUUGCUUUGUUUUACACCUGCACUCCACCAGCACUUGUUCAAUCUACCUUUCAAAGUAAAAUCGCGUUACCAAAAAAACUUCUACCAUUUAGCAAUAUCAAAAGCACCAAUGGUCACUCGUAAACCACCAUAAGAGUGAAUCCAUCUUUAGAGACAUAAUUUAAAAGAAUCUCCUCCUAAACCCACGAUCUAAAUGCUGUUACCCACCAUGUCAGAUCAGAUUAAAAGGCUUUACCUUUCAAAAAACCAGUGCUUAGGUGUGAUAUUUUGUCCAGAAAUAAAAACAUAUGAAGGUAUACCACAUCAAACAUCGGCCAUAUUACACAACACGCAUGGAAGCAGAUCAUGAACAGAGAAAUGUAUCUACAGAUAUACCACGACCAAUAUCAGCUUAAUGCCAAAAAAUUAUAUUAACAACUGGUGUUAUGAGUUAUAAGUAUCCCAUUCAAAAGUAGGCUUCGACAAAACUUCAUAAUCUAUGGGACCAUCAAUGAUGUUGUCAACAGUCUGUAUGCCUUGCAAUAAGGCUGGCUGUACACCUUCAUUAUCAGAGGGUAAAAGCUUAUACAUUACUAACAACCCGAGAGUGAAUAUGGCCUGCAGCUUUGUGGAAUCCCCGUGAACUGAGAAGAAGAGUAGCAUCGAGAGAAGAAACAAAUCAACACAAAACCGCAUUACAAACAAAACAGUAUCCAUCAACCUCCCAUCAUUACCAGCCGGAAAACCUCGCACCCUGUAGACAAAUAGGAAGUUGUACUUGUCUACCACAUAUCUGUAACCAAAAUAUAUAGCUCCCACCGGAACCACAAGGGGAGCAAAGGAGGAAUAUAUGAGGGUCAGGGCAAAUAUUGUGAGGUUGAACGCAUAGUAUUGUGCAAAAUCAAAAGUUCGCUUAGGCAUGGGUGAGGUUCUGCUAACAGGAGGGUAUUCAGACAUGUCUUGACCUGGUGAAUUAACACCGUUCAAAGCAGAAUGUUGUAAAUAUCCAUUAUUGCUUGUCAUUACCCCAGCUGCAGCUUCAGAAAUCAGAGGCCUCUCCAAACUUUCAAUGUCAUGAUUUUCCAGUUCACUUUGCUCCGGAACCAGCUGGAGCAUAUCAUUCUUUCUGAACUUCCGGAGCAUCUUCUUAAUUGAAGGUACUGGAGCCAGUAAAUCAAAGGAUAUUCCCAAGAAAGUGCUUGUAAUAAGAAAUGCAAGUGAUGAAAGGCAAGAUCUUGAAAGAAAAGAGGCACUCAUAUAUUGUUCAAUCCUUUUGCAAUCUUCCCCAUCCAAGUAACAUCGUCCCAUCUUCAAAAUAGCGCUCUCCAGUGAUGACUCAACUAGACCCCUUAGAAGAAUGAGGUUUACCAAGAAAAAGCAAACCAUCUUCAAGAGCGCAGCUCUUUGCUCCCCAGACACGGUCAAAUGCCGCUCAAAUUUGGAAAGAUAAGAAAGAACAGAUGGGAUCACAAUAUACAUGCUGACAAAAAUAAGUACAUUGGGCAGAAACUGGAAGAUUAAGGAUGCAAGCCAGCUUGAACUCUGCACCCAAGCCAGCCAAGUCUCAGCAUGAUCCACAGCUUCUGCAUUAAUAAUCCGUGCUGCGCUGCUAAUGCCACUAAGUAUAGCAAGUGGAGAACUGCAGAACAGAAGUAGCAAUAAAAGGCAUGUGUUCACAAUCACUCUACGCAAUCUUAGAGACAGUUUUGAUGAACCCAAGUUAUUCCAAUAAAUAUCACUUGCCAGUGGAGCUCUCUCUACCUUCCACUGGUUCCUUUGAAGUUGUAACUCUGUAAUGGAAAAGAAUCUUCCAAACCGUCUUCUCUUUUCAUUUCGAAGAUCCUGAACUGCCUUAUUAGCUGCAUAGACAUCUUUAAACACCACAAAAGCAACACCAGCACCCCUUGCUCGGCCAUCUUUAUAAGCUGCCAUCUCCAUUUCCAAAUCUGCCCUAAACUCUUGCAACUUUCUCAAUCUCUCCUCAUCAGAAAACCCCAGAGCGCCCAUAGCCCGAUACCACAAAUCUACCACUCUCCUCCACAACAAACAUAUCUUCUCCCACAAUCCCCUUCCAUUCCCUGCAUCCUCAUAUUCCUCUACCUCAUCCAGAAAUCCUCUUGACUCGAUCCUUGCCACCAACUUUGAAAUAUCAUCCCUAACCUUCACUAAGUCCGAAGCUAAAUCAUCUAAUGCACACAAAUCCAUCGGAACAAUAACUUCAUACACCUUCCCUGGAUACUUAUGCUGAAAGUAUUCCACCAAUGGGGUCUUAUCAAAGCCCAAAGUUGUUGGCAACCCAUGUAUCAUUAUAGUAAAUAUUGCACUCGAAUUUGCACCAGGGUCACUAGGAUUACCAUGCCCAUCUCGCAACCUCGUGACUUUCAAUCUUUUUUCAAUCUCAUUCACACCAUAAUGCACCAAAAAAACAACAAUUACAACAAAAAUAAGGUGAACCCAGAGCAAAGGCGAACCUUUUUCGAUAUGAUUAAUGGUGGUUUUCGAGAAUUCGUCUCCCAAAGAAGCCUUUCCAGCGUAAAUAUUGAUUGGAAGCAUGACGGAGAUGGCCAGCACAGCGAGGGAAAGGAGUAGGGCAGAGCUGCCACCUUCAAUAAGGAGAAAUUGAGCUGCAUCAGCGCCACAGUGGCGGGCGAUCUCUCGGCCGGUGGCGUGCCAGGCGGCGAGGAGCUUAGAAACGAUGGCGGUGGGGCCGGGCAUGCGGCGGUGGUCGCUUCGGAGCUUAAUUAAGAUGAAGAUGAGGAGACACGUUAAGGCUCCGAUGGCGGAAAUGUUAACUAAGUAUUGGAUGUUCCCGUACCAUGCCGUAUCGUAAUCAAAGUCUCCGUCGCCCCAGGAGGCGGACGGUGGAAGUGAUGGGACGGUGUAAUUGGUCAUCGUGGCGAUGACCGACUGCGAAUGUUCAGCCGGUGACACGGAAAUUAAUGGCAAGAAUUCUGGGUUUCUUUAGGAGUUCAUGAUCAAGGACUAUUUUGAGAGAAUUUGGAUGGAUCGAGUUGAGGAAGAUUGGGAAUUUGAUCCAUUUAGGAUUUAGGGUUUGGGUUUUAGCAUCUGUUCAGUUCUCUUGGUCGAAUACGCCACUGGGAGAGAAAGGGGUCAGCCGGAAAUCUGUCUGGAGGUUUAAUUACGAGGAAACCUAUCUGGAGAUGAUGAGUCUGGGGUUAGUUGUCACGUCAUCAAUGAUGGAGUAUCAUACACUCGAUUCGUUAACGAAUCAAACCGCCUCAACCGAGUAGUACUAUCUACUCGCUAGUGAUGAGGACAGUUUUUUCCCCUUUUAGUGCAACGAAAUUGGAAUUGGGAAAGCUAACAAUUAAUCUUGUUUUGGAUUGGCAUUUUUCCUUAAAAGAUUUUUACGUUUUCAUGGAAUCAUUUUUUCAGUCUUGUUUUAUUUCACAUGUAUUAAAUCAUUACAAUGCAAUUUCUUACAAAACUCUUUUUAAAAAAAAAAAAUGACAGUCCAGGCGAGUUGAUGGAGUUACUUAGGAGCGUCCAAAUUUAUUCUUAUUUUGUUAUUCAGAUAAAAUUGCACUUAAACUUAGUUUAAUGAUUAGAUUAGUUGACUAGUUACUCAAUUUUAUUUGCACAUAACAUUAUAAAUCUCAACCUAAUACCCUUCUAGUUAAGCUUUACAAAAAAUUAGGGGGAAAAGAUGAAUGUGGAAAACUUUUACUCCAUGCGAGAAUCUUUUAUGUUGUUAUUCGGAAGGAACCCAACUCAGUUCAUAGAAGAUUUGGAUCCAAAAUGCUGAUGAGUUUUAUGUGUCUUAACUUAUUAUAUGAGAGUAAUGUUUGAACUGCUCAAACCCUUUCAUGUUUUAUACUAACAGAAGAUUAGCCUCAAACAUUCUCAAUUGUUGCUAUAUCCUAUUCUCCCAAAUCUUAAUUAAGGCUCGUCUCGUCUGCAUCAUGUUCUGAGGGUACAAGACAUAAAAGUGGGAGUCGUCUGCAAAAGUUUAAAAUUCUUAUAUAAAAGUGCGGAUAAUGUCAAUUUUUUAUGUCUAAUGUCACAGCACUCUUUACUGGGUUGGACCUUUUGAUCCGUAACUUGUCCGUGUAAUCAGAUGGAAUAAGGCCAGACUCAGGCAGAGAGAAGGAAUGACCAGACCCAGCUAAAUUGAUAAGCCCACUAGUUUUUUUUUUUUUUUCCCCGAAACGAUAGUUGUUAUAUUGCUUUCAAAAGAUAUACAAUUGCGAGCAAAGUCUCGAGUUAACUUUACAUUCAGUGUUCUUGACAUUGAGAAAACAAGAGUUCCUCGUCUAAAGUGAUGCCCAAGGCAUCGUUGCUAAUCUUAGAGUUUAAGUGAUACUUAUCAUUUUUAACUAGACAAAAAGAGCACAUAUGAAACAACCCUCUUAACUGAGCAAUAUCUUCCACCAAAGUAAUUAGGCUGAACUCUUUCACUUGAUUUUCAAAGUUUAAACUAUUCUUUUUCCUCCUCCGUCGUAAGGUUUGAACUUUAAAACCUUUGGAUAAUCAUUUCGAGACAAUCAUCUCGACAGAAUCACCGUCCUCUAAUUUGAUAGUACCUCUUUGUUAGUCUUAUAAAGGGACAGAGGGAAAAAAAAAGGAUUUAAGAGUCAAAUUAAAAAUUUUACCAUUACCUUGCUAGCGGUCUUAUAAGUUAGAUUGGGUCUUAAAGACAACCUAUGAUACUACUUGUUGCAUUUCAGACUUCAUAAUACAGUUUUUAUCAUUGGUUCCUACCACCAUUAAGGAGCUCUCUGGGUAAUUGCAUAAAAAUUUGAUAAUUUACUCUCUCUAGACUUCACCUUGCAUUUUACUUUAUGUUUUUGCCUUUCGUGCUUGUUAUACUUUCGGAUAUGCAAAGCAAAAGUUUGGACACUUAAAGUAAAAUAGACUGUUACAGUAAAAUAUUUCAAAAACAUUCCAAAAAUAGCUAAUUCAAACGAAGCGUUUGUGUUUUCAUUAAUAUGCUACUACUAUAUUUACGCAUGUAUGUACAAAUUAAUCGUCAUCAACGUGCAAUCGAACACUUAAAGCAGCCUAGUCAAGAAUGUUGUUUGUGGUUGUACUCUCCAAAUGUGCAAGACAUUGAGAAAGAUCCCAUCUCAUAAUUAUCCAUAACAGUUGAUGCACAAGUAAUACUUAUAUUGAGGCUACCCCAAACUUCUGGGAAGCAAGAUCUGAGGGCCAUAUCUAUGACCAGAGGAAUCGUGCAAAUUUUUGUAAAUGAUCCUUGAAAAUCCAUGCUUCAAGAAUUCCGGUUCUUUGAGUUUGAUAUUACCAGUGUCCAUCUGAUGAUAACCAUCUGGUCCCCUGGCCCUACAGUCAUAGAAUUCCAGAUUCGUCGUUCUAUUUGGACAUGCAAUUCUAUUUAGUUGGCCAUCACCCCAACUUGCACCUCAAAUUGCUACAGCAAAGGCAUCGGAUGGAAGAGUUUAUGGACCAGACAGAUUUUUAACUUCAGGAAUUAAGUGAUAUUCUGACCAAAGAAAGGACCUAAGUGAGAAUUGUGAGUUCUUGCAUCAUGUUCUCUAAAGACUUGUGAUCAGAGCACUGUAUAUCUGGAGUCACUUUUUUCACAACAACUUGUGUAAUUCAGGGGUAGAGGAUCUAAUAUUUUCAUCUCGAAAAUGCCGUUAUACUGCUAGAACGAUGCCUUGGAUACACAAAUGACGUGCUUUUACAUAACCAUACUUCUUUUACAUAUUCUCCAUGCAUGGUAAUGUCUGAUGACAGUUUCAAAGUACUCAAAACAGGAAGAAUCCUCGACCUUUUCUUUUUUUUUCCCCCCCUUAUUUGUUCGGUAGCUAGAUUCGGUUGGCCGGAUUUUUGUCAAAGUGAUUAUGGAUUUAAGACUGCUGACGGGAGUGCAUUUCAGUAUAUAUUCCAAAGAGGUUGCGUUGAAAUUGGGCUAGUUUCAGCUCAUUUAUCACGUUCAACAUUUGCGAUGAUCAAUUUAUCGUCUCUUUUCUUCUCUCCGAAGAAAACGAAGUCUCCUACGUUAAUUAGUGAUUGACUCCUUUAUCACUCCAGGAUCGAUGUCAACAUAAACAAUUACUACUUGGUAAGAGGUAACGCGGGGCGGGAGCAUCUAGCCGGCCUGCAAAACCCUUCACAGGCAAAGCACUUCAUCAGAUAAAGCCGUUUGCAAAAGUUUAUAAGUCCACGGUCAGAGAGAAUGCUGCUGCGGCCAGGCUCCACACUGCUAUCUGGUGGGGUGUUCCCUUUCGGGAGUCAAGAUUGGUUUAAAGUCUAUAAGGCCGGCGGCAUUAUUAUUUGGCCCUAUCAUUUUCUUUCUGUUUUGUUUAGGUAAUUCUGUCACAGGAUGGCUGAGAUGCUCUGAUUUGCUGAUGGAAUGAACUCGUACGGAUAUUAAAUUACUAAUUGAUGUGCAUGGGAUGCAAGAGGAAGAAAACCAGGUACUGAACGGAAAAAUCAGUCUAUUAGACCAAAGAUUAUUCCGAAUUCCAUAUUCAUGCUGGAAUUAUGUCUAUUUGGGGAAGCACUUACCUGUAUUUCUUUAUCUGGACAAAUAGAAGACUUUUCUCGUACCACCUUAAUAUGUCAUCAACAUGAAAGUCCUAAAUUUUUUCUCAAACUUUUCCAACCGGAAAGUCUUAACCUCCGAAUUACAUUUGAGUUGAUUCAUUUAUUAACAGGUUUUAGCCGGGGUAGGCCAGAUUGAUGUGGUGAUGAAUCUUUCAAGUUCUUGCCAAAGUUGGUUACGGUCAAAAUGUAGCCAUCUAUAUUAGACAAGUCAAUUUCUUGACAUCCUCAAUAAUUCCCAAUUAACCGGUGCAUGUGUAUUGGACUAUCAUUCAAAUAUCUAAUUUAUGCUUAAAAACACUGUUCUUGGUUCUUAUAUGUUGUCAGAAGAAUUGCAAAAUCACCCUUUAGUGAUGCAUACAAAAUUAGUUUCAUGCUUUAGAAUUGAUAUUAGUAAAGAUCACGAGAGCUUUUGGUUAAGAGUCUGAGUCAUGAAGAGUUGCUGUAUGAAAUAUCUUAUAAAGAACCACAAAGAAUUUAGAAGUGACAAAUCAAUUAGCACAUCCUAGGAUUCUCUCAUAUCACCUUAAUUGUUUGCUAAGAAAAAGAAAAUAGAAAAGAAAGAGUUUUUCUAAUGAGUAAUUAUAAGUAUCAUCGCUUUUCUCAUCGUCAUUGAUCAUAAUAUCAACGCACAAAGAGAGAUUUAGUGCUCUACUUAGGUGUCGGUUAAGAAAUCAAAUUCUUUAACUUGCAUUCUAAAAAAUCCAAACUUUGCUGAAAAGUUUGCCAAUACGAGCGUAGGCACCCAUCUGAGUUGGUAAUAGUUUAGUCUCCUCCGAAAUUUCCUUGGACCUCUUUAGGUUCCCCACUCCCCUUAAUAUAGAAUAGAAGUAGGUGUAUAAUAUAUUCUAUCAUGUCUAAAAAAAAAAAUCAUCAUAAUAUCACUUCUUACAUAUACCAAUAAUUUGGCGAUCAGUUUCCCUUUUCUAACCUUAUAGAGUAAUGAUGUGGCAUUAUUUUUAUUCAACAAAAAUAAUAUUAUUGAAAUUUAAAAUGUCUAUAUUCAGACCGUUUGAUAACUAAAAAUUUAAUAUUUAAAUGAAUUAAGUGGUACUGAAUUUUCUAGACAAAACUUGCUCCUAAAAUUAAGUGAUAAGCUAUUCACUUAUCACUGAAUAUAAUAUGCACUCAAAUGUAUUAGAUUUUGUUGGCCUUGGUCGAUCAAUCCUUGGUUUUGAUGAUUAACAAACUAAAAUGUAGAUUUGGGCUAAUGUUUUUAUGUGAGCAAUUUGUUAGAACAGAUUCUUGUGGCACAAAAGAAGAAGCAAAAACAGGGCACUCAUGUGGGACGUCCGAAAGGAAGCUAUCGGAUGUCCGAAAGGAUGAAGAACAUCAAGAAGGAAACUCUGUCGGACGCUUGUGAGGAAGCAUCGGACGUCCGGAAGGAUCGGACGCACGCAUCGGACGCACAUCGAUCGCAUCGGACGUCCGAGAAAUUUCGCAAAGAUUUGAUGACUCUCUGACGACGUUCGGACGCAUGGUUCGGACGUCCGACAGGUGGUUUGGACGCAGGGUUCGGACGUUCGACAGGUGGUUCGGACGUCCGACAGGCCAACGGCUAGUUUUGACAGCAUUUAAUAUUUGACCGUUGGAGAGCCUUUUGGAGCCAUUUCUCACCUUUUAUAAACACCCCAAAGCACAAGAAGAAAAAAGACUUUUGCCAACACAAAAUACAAGCUUACAAGUGAGAUUUUUGAGUAGAAAGAUUCUUUGUUGGUUGUAUAAGGGGUUGGGGAAGUUGGGUUGUGAGGUUGCUCAAGUGAAGGUUAUUCUCUAGGAGGAGUAAAACCUUGGUGAAGGUGAACCUAUCACUUGAAGUGGUAAAACCUUGGUGAAGGUUGCCUCAUUUGUAUAAAAUAGUUCUUAAUUGGGUGAGUGAUCUUUCAAGUGUAGGCUGUUGAGGGUUAACUAGAAUUGUUGUAAAACUCCUUGGCUCAACCAAAGUGUGUUUGGGGUGAGGAAGGAGUGAGCCUUCACUUGUACAUCUUGGUUAGCAUCGCCAUCAAUUGAAGAGGCUAUUGGUUUGAUAUUUGGUUUACAUUUCUUAUCCUUUCUCUUUAAUUAAGUUUUCUUUAUUGUGCUUAAAUUUGAUAUAUCUUUGUGCAUCAUUGUGAAUUUGUUUGUACUCAUUGGGUUGCACCGGGCACUUACAGAUUUAAUAUUUAACAAUUUAAUAACUUAAUAGAUUCAAAUUUCAGAUUUUAGACUUUAAUUUUAUCAAAAACACCCUUAGAUACUUCCUAUUAAGCAUGCAUUAAGGUUUGAAAUUUACAAGUUUCUUAAUUAGAGCCUUGCUAAUAAUUUGAUUAUCCUCUAUUUUGCUACACGAAGUGCCAAACCCUCCAUUUUUUUUCUCCAAAGACGUUUUUCGUAUACAAAAAAAAUAAAGACUAAAUCGGAGUAUUGUGUAAAAAAUACAUCACGGUGACGUGAAAAGCGAUGAUGCAAAUCAUUAACGGUUUCUAAAAAGAUAACACACACUUAAAUUCGUAUUCAACUUAUUAUGUAAAUACAUGUACUAACAAUUAUUAUUAGUUUGAAGUUGAUUAGAAGCAAGCACUUCAACACAUGAUAAUAUCAAUUGUCAGCACUAAUUUUCAAAUGGAAACUCCCAUUUUCAAUUGACCAAUUGAAUUUUCAACACAUGAUAAUAUCAAUAGUCCAUGUAUCUAUUAUAAUUAGUAGUAAAAGGAUGAAUAUUCUGCCAAAAUUCUAAAAGCCAAAUCGAGUAGUACUAGUGUCAAAGGGGGAAAAAAGGGAUAAUAGUAGUACGUUUCUGGGAUACUAUCUACUUAAGAAACCGGGGCCAGAAUAAUCCGAGAGUCAACUAAAGUGUCAAAAAGUGAUGGUCCACAUAAUAAGGUUGAAAAUUUGGUACGUACAAUAAGUAGUCAGCAUUGGAAAACGGGCCGGGCAACGCAUCCUUGGCUGGAAUCCGCGUUUGACUUGAUAAUUAUUAGGGGGAGUACAUAUUUGGCUUUAGGCUUCGUUUGGGAGUGGAGGAUUUGGAGAGAAAAGAAAGGGAAAGAAGAGAAAGUUAACUUUUCUUUCAUUUGUUAGUUUUUAGUAGGAAAGAAAAAAAGGGAAAUGGAAUGAUUUAAGAGGAUGAAUAGUAUGUAAAAUUUUUCCUUUCAAAUUGGAGAGAAAUGGAGAGAAAGUUGGAAGAAGCUUAUGAAAGUUUUUUAAAAUACCCAUUUUAUCCUUAAAAAUGUCUUGAACAAAUAUUUAAUGACUUUCAUAUUCAAAAUCAUUCCACUAAUUCUCAAAACUCCCAAACAAUAUAACAAUCCCUUCUCUUCUCUUCUCUUCUCUCAUAACUUAAGUUUUCCCUUCUUUUCUUUUCUAUCAUAAACUCCCAAACUUAGCCUUAAGCGGGUAUUUAUGGGCUGGGCUCAGCCUGUGUAGUUGGUGGUGUACUAGAAGGCUCUUUUAUGAGCUGUGGUCAAGUCCAAAACUACGUAAAUCGUCCAUGGCAGCAGCCCGAAAGGUGGAGCCACAAGCCAGCCAGGCAACUUUCCAUUUUUGGAAACUAUCAUCUUAGUACUUCUUAAUUUUACUCAUAUCUCAUCGUACUUGGUCAAGUAAUUUGUUAACACAGUCGGGUAACUGGCUUUCAUAUUUGUUCUCCUUUUUUACCCCCUUUAUUUUUCAGCUGUAACUAAGAGGAAAAUAGAUUUUUGGACGACCAGAUAAUAUAUACAGUUAAUUUGGAUCAUUACAUGGUCCAAAAUAAAACGAAUAUGUUUAAUGGUACAAUUAUAUAAGGGAAUAGGUAACUAGGUGAGUUUAUAAUUUAGGUAUAGUAACCUCAAAAAACUUCUCAAAAAUUUUAAACUAAACACUUCAAAAUAUUAAAAAAAACACACUUUAAAAAUUUUUUUAAAAACUUCUACGGUAAGUUACAGUAAAAUUUUAAACAAACACCCAAAAAACUCACUUGUCAAACGGGGCCUAUACGUCACUCUGGGGUUUAUAGGUAUUUCUUAAAAAAAGAGUAUAAAAACUAAAAAGAGCUCACCAUUGAGGAUUUUGUCUGAAAUAAAUUGAUGAACCAAUAAUGUUUCGCAUGAGAAACUGGCAUAACAUUAGACAACAUUUAAUUUUAAGCCAGAGAGAGGCCCUGCGUUCUCCAAUCCUAUAUCUUGGAUGAUCUAUAUUUGGAGGGGUUGACUUGGAUGUUGCAUAAACAUGUUGAGAGGUUAGUUAAGAUUAUCAUCCUAUAAAGUUAAAUGAGAUGUAGAGUUAAAUGAGAUGUAGAUUAACAGAUCGAAUAAUUAACUAUCAUAGGAUAGUUAAGUUAAAUGAGAUGUAGAUUAACAGAUCGAAUAAUUAACUAUCAUAGGAUAGUUAACUAUCAUAGGAAUCUUACCAAGUACAUAGUAAUUAAUUGACACCAUUUAUAUCGACAGUUCAUCUUUGUUCACAGUUCAUCACAAAAUGCGUAAACAACAACAGAUCAGUUUUUUUUUUCUUCUUUGAUUUUGCUGCUUGAUUGCUUGCUUCCUCGAUCUUGCCCCUUUUCUAUUUGUUUUUCCUCAUUUUUUUGUUUUGGGAAUAUUGUGAAUUACACAAAAAUAUGCUUCCUUUAUUAUACACUUGGAAUAGAAAUAGCUUGCGCACAAGGAACUGUUAAAGCACGUAGGGUGUCCUGCCAAGUUGCAAAAAAUUGCAAGUAGGUUAUGACGUAAAAAGUGCAAGUUCAGGCGUGAAACAAGACGGAUAUGUGUCAAUAUCUCAAGAGGAUCCAAUUGUAAAUGGUAGAGUGUCGUUUCGCAAUUCUUCGUUUUCCCAAAAGAUGGGGAAAGCAUACUCAAACGACGACAAUACUGUUAAACUUCAUUAUUAUAGGAGCUUAAGAAGGAAAAGGUAGGAGCUUAAGAAAUUUGGACUCACCUAAAGAAUGCUUUUGUGCUUAACCACCAUGUUUUUAUGCACGACAAUCAUAGACAAAAUCCCUUUAUCAUUCCAUUUAAGAUGGACAAAAACAUAACAUCACUUCGAAGGAUUCGAUGUCUAUUAGAAUUUGAGACAAUCAUUUCGCUCUUCUUUUUCCUUUCUCUCUAGCAGGGAAGAAGGAUGGAAUUUCAAAAGCAGUGAAGUUAAGAGAAAUUUGAAUCUAAAAUCUCUAAAUCUCGAGAUUUCAACCUUCAUUAUUAAAUUGAGACUUUCUCAACCAAACAAUAAUAUCCUUCUUCUCCUUUAUGUGCCAUUUGCACGUCUUUAGCCGCCCUUAAUUACUAGUUUACAUAGAUAUGAAUCCAUUAGUGGCAUCAGCAAUUUAACAAGGAGAUUAAAUGAAACGUCUCAAUUUGUUGGGCCAAAAUUUACUUUAUCUUAGCUUUAAUUUUAUAGUUGAAAGCAUCGAGCAUCUUACAAUCUUUUGUUGAUGUCUAGAAUGAUCACAAGGUUGCAGCAUAUACCAUGAUCAAUUUAAUUCAAUAAUGCAUUCGGUUAGAAUCCAAUAAAUAUGCUCAUUUGAUUGUCAUCUUAUUCAAAGGUGGGAUAAUCACUGAAAAGCAAAGAACAUUAAAUGUAUGCAACUACAUGCUAGCUGGUUUGGCUCCGUUUGGAUUAACUGUUUUUUGAGGUGUUUUUGAAAAAUUUUGCUGUAGUAGAAUUUUUAGAUUAUAUUUUAGAAUAUUUUCAGAAAAUAUUUUGGAAUAUUUAAGAGAAGAAGAGUUUAUAGAAUAUAUUUUGAGAUAUUUUUUAAAAUUUUAAAAAAAUUUAAACUAAUUUUUAAAUUACCUUUUAGAGUAUUUUUUAAAAAAAUUUAUUAUAUUUGAAAAACUAGUUUUUGAAAAAUACUCCAAUCCAAUUCUUUAUCCGCGCAUAUCCAAUUAUAGAAUGUGUUAUAUCAUUAUUAUAUUUUCUUUUCAAAUAAUCUUCUGUCCAAAUAGGCAUAAUGAACAAAAGGUUGAGUAAACAUCUUGAAGUUUUCCUUGCUCAUGUGGUUCCUUAGCCAGCUCAAAGCAAAGGUGAGCAAGGUGAAAAUGAAUGCAAAUGUUCUUUGAAAAAAAGAAAAGAAAAGAAAAGAAAAGAAAUUUCUGUUAAAAGAAAAGAAAAGAAAAGAAAGAAAGGCCAAGGUAAGAAAGUAGACAGACCCUCCUCAAUCAUUUAACACUAACUCUGAGAGUGGUGGCUUUUUUUUUCCCAAAACUUGAGAAACAACUGAAUUUGAUGAUUUACCUUCAUUUGCCAAAAUUGAAAAAGAGGAUAAAAUGCAGUUGCCAAUUGAACUUCUUAUCUUAAUAAAUCAAGUAAUCAACUUUCUCCAUCAACUUCUUGAGUUUGUUUCUGUACAAGGACUGAGUUUUCCUGUCUGGGUCAUCAUGUGUGGAGGUGGAGCCCAUGGCAACAGCCCACACAGCCAUCAAUUUUUUCUUUUUGUUUUGUUGGUUUUCUUUCUUUCUUUUUUUUUUUACUAAUGAAUAAUAUAUUUUGAGGUUUUUGUCUGCUGAGUUUUUACAACACUCCAAUAGGAAACAAAAACAAGACUAAUACUGCAACACUUGGCUUGGUUUGUUCAGUCAGUAAUUCUACUAAUAAAAACACGCACUCUGAUUGAGAAAGAAAACUCCUUUAUCUACUUCUACUUAUUCCUCUCAUCUCUCUCUUUCUUGUUAGUUCUUCAUCAUCAACUGAACCCACAGGAAAUCCAAGGGAAAGAGAGAGGAAAAUAAUAAAGCGCUUUUGUCCAGAAGCAAAUAGGAAGCUAAAUUUCUGAUAUUUUAUCUAUGCAAUUGUGCAUAUUUGUACAGAAAGGUGAUUGAGGGAUCUAUAGAUCUAACCCUUUUACAAGCGUAUGAAUUGCUCUACAUCUUUCAGAUCUCCAUCCUUUUCAGUUGGUAUUGUUCAGUAGCUGACCAGGAAAGACCACAACAUAGGCCUAACCAAACUGUGAGUAUUCUCUCUUUAUACUGUUUUAAAGUUCAAAUUUUUUAAAGAAAAGGCUGUGAGCUUUAUUUGUGACUGGUUUUGUUUAAUUUGCUGAUACCGUUCAAUUUUGUUUGUGGAUGGUUUUGGGUUUUAAUAUGGGUUCAGUUCUCUGACCAAAACAUUGUCUGCUCCGAUGGACUGUAUUGGGUAGAUUUGACCCCUAGUUUUAGCUUCAAUUGGUGGUUCUAUUUCUAUAUUGUCUUCAAAUCAAGAAGGUGCUAGGAUAUCGGUCGGGCCUAUUUUCCUUUUUUGAGAAUUAAGGAAGACGAUUUUUUCGGUUUCUAAAAAGUUUUGUCCUAUUGUGCUGAUGUGUUUUGUCUAAAUUUACCUAUAAAGCCAUCAUGUUUAAUCAAUUGUAUGGUCUUGGAAUUAAUAUCAGUUCGUUGUCAAUUGAUAUGUUUGUGGGGUUAUUUGGUGUUAUCAAUCAUUUUGCAGGUGUGGCAAAUACUUCUAAGAGCUUGUUAGAUAUUGUACUCUUUGCAUCCAAUUAGGAUGUUGAAGAAUUGGUGGUAAGCAGGGCUGAAAUGAGGGAUGUUAUCAAGGUUGAUAGAAUUUCUAAAGGCCUGCUGCCGGCCCUCUUCAGACCGAUGUGCACACUCAGGUUCGGACACUGCAGGCCGGCAAGAUGGGCUUCUUUGGUACAAAGACACUGGACAGCACUUAAUUGGUGACUUCUCAAUGGCGGUUGUCCAGGCCAAUAAUUUGCUUGAGGAUCAAAGCCAGAUUGAAUCAGGUUCAUUGAGUUUGCUUGAUUCUGGUCCCUAUGGAACAUUUGUUGGAGUAUAUGAUGGUCAUGGAGGGCCUGAGACAUCGCGAUACAUCAACGAUCACCUAUUUCAGCAUCUGAAAAGUAAGUGACCUAUGUAAGAAACAUAACUGGAUUUGUUGAUCGCUAGCGUGUUUGGGUAGUAGAUUAUUUGGGAUAAUUUUGUGAAAAAAAUACUAUAGCACUUUUUUGAUAUGAUGUAUGUGAGAUAAAAAGAUGGUUGGAAAAUGCGUUGAUGCAAGCAAAUAAAAUUUAGAUGGUUGGAAAAUUAAUGCUUUUUGUCGUAACUUUAGCAAAUUAAUGCAAGCUAAAUAAAAUUUAGCAAAUAAUAUUGGGUCUUGGAAAAAGAUGGUUGGAAAAUUAAUGCUUUUUGUCCUACCUUUAGUUCCAUGUGUCUUGGAACGUAUGAAGCAUAUUUAAAGGAUUCACUUAAAAUGAUUGCUUUUGUUGUGAGUGUUGACACAUGUAUUCUUGCUCAUAUGAUUGCUUUUGUCAUGACUUGUAUUCUCAAAACAGCCUUUCAACAUUGAUUUUUGUUAACUUGUGCUAUUUAGGGUUUGCCUCAGAGCAAAGUUCCAUGUCAGUGGAUGUAAUUCGGAAAGCAUUUCAAGCAACAGAAGAGGGAUUUCUGUCAGUAGUUUCAAAAAAUUGGCCAAUGAAACCACAGAUGGCCGCUGUUGGAUCUUGUUGCCUGGUUGGUGUUAUAUGUGGUGGGACCCUAUACAUCGCCAACCUUGGUGACUCUAGGGCAGUAUUGGGGAGGGUUGUCAGGGCAACUGGAGAAGUUCUUGCCAUCCAGCUAUCUAAUGAACAUAAUGCAAGCAUAGAGUCUGUCAGACAGGAAUUGCAUGCAAUGCAUCCAGAUGACUCUCAUAUAGUUGUUCUCAAGCAUAAUGUAUGGCGUGUAAAGGGUUUGAUACAGGUAAAGUCCGGGCAUAAGUGGCAGUAAAUGUGUGUCGUUUACCACGUUCUAUUGUGGCAUAGAGUGCGUAUUUCAUUUCUUCUCAUUGCCAACCGAUGUUGUCUAAUACUAGAGAUCACUAACUUCUCAUUGGCCUUUUCUUGAAAAGAUAAAUGAAGCUAUAGCUGACUUGUAAAAAUUUUGUUAUUGUUUUGCUUAAUGCAUCCCAAUAAUAGUUUGUCUUUCUAGUUAUCUCGUUUAUGAGCAAGAGGAGAAUUAGUUGUGCCUUUUGGAUGUUUUCAUCAGCUUCCUGUGUCUUUCAGGUUUCCUAUAGAAAAUUGUCAAUAGACACAAGGCAACAGAAAACAUAACUCUUCUGAUAGCAUUACCGGUCAUAUAUCUCCAUUACAAUGUCAGGUGGUAGAGAUGACAUUGGAUCUCCUUUGGCUGCUAUACGUUUCUCAUUAAAGUAAAUGUAUAAAAGAGGAAAAAGGAGGCUGUUUAAGUCCAUAGCUCAAUCAAAGUUAAUGAAAGUAAAUCAGCAGAGCCAACCUGAACCACUGAGCUUCAUAAAAAGCUAUCGCUUCUGUUUCAGAUGAAACUUGUUUGAGUAGUUUCUGAUUUGUUUUUGCUAUUUUGGCCAUCAAAAUUCAGCUUGUUUUGUGUAGAGCAAUCAAUUUGUCACUCUAAAUAUAGUAAGCUAGUGCCACAUGGUUUCUGUGUCCAGCAAUGACAUUAUAUACAUCGCAUGCAUGGUGAAUCUUCUUAAAAUAGAAGUCAUGUUCGAAAAGCCUCUAAGAAGUUAUGCAUGAUGGAUCCUAUUUACCAUAAUUUAUUAAUCAAAUCUUACCUAAUUUUAUCACAUUGAAUGUACCAAAGUGCUUGAAUCCUCAUUUUGAGAGAAAGGUCUUUGAAGAAAGAAAGAAAGGAGUAAAGACAGAACACAUACAAUAUGGUCUGCUUUUGAGAAUCCUUAGGCAUUUUCCUUUUAUUUACUUGCUUCUCUGUCCAUCGCAGUUCUUAACCCAUCCAGACAUGCUGGAUGAAAUCCCAUUUCUUUGUAAUUUAUUAAUUUGACAAUAGCAGUUUUUUUUGUACAUUUUUUUAUCAGAUGCUCAAGUUUUUUAGUGUUUUCAUAUUGACAUACUGUUUUUUUUCUGCAUGGUUUUCUCAUUUUGGGCUCACAAUAUAGCUGCGAAAUGAGAAAAAAGAAAAGAAGCAAAAUUUUGUUUAGAUGGAAAGUAUUUGAAAGGCCUAAGUUUUAAAUUUCUAAUAGCUCCAUUUGUCAAGAGUCCUUUUCAGGAACAUGCACUUUUUAAUCUCUGAUGUAUCUACCCUGUACUUUGUUGUUAUGAAAUGUAUAGUAAAUUGUAGCUGUCAACGUGCAUUAUUUUCUGGGUUGUACAUUAUGAUUCCCUACAAGUUGUGCUUUUCCUAACUGUCAAAAUUUAAUUAUUGUAGGUUUCAAGAUCAAUUGGUGAUGUGUAUCUUAAAAGGGCGGAAUUCAAUAGGGAGCCCUUAUAUGCUAAGUUUCGUCUCCGAGAACCUUUCAAAAGGCCUAUAUUAAGCUCUGAACCAGCAAUAACUGUUCAUGAACUCCAGCCACAUGAUCAGUUUCUCAUAUUUGCUUCUGAUGGUCUCUGGGAACACCUAAGCAAUCAGGAGGCAGUGGAUAUAGUGCAAAAUCAUCCCCGCAGCGUAAGAUCUUGAGCCUACAUGUCUAUCUAGCAUAUAUGUUUUUAUUUCCCUCAAAAACUGGACUAAUUUCUCAUCCACAAUAGGAAAUCAAAUGAGUCUUGAAUAUUUAGUUUGAAGAAGUUGUGUUUCCCCAUUGCAGUAAGAUUUUGACAUUUAAAGGUUCUUGGUCCAAAAUUGUGGGUUCUAUAGAUUACAAAAGAAGAUCAGUUUGUUUACCUAUGUACUCAUUUGCGUUGUUCUUUCUUGUGUGCAAUUUAAAAGUUCUGGCUCUGUUUGGAUUCCUCAUUUUUUGAAAAACAAAUUUUUCAUAUACAAUGCUACAGUAAUACACAAACAAAAACAACUCCAAAAACACCUCACAUCCAUACAAUAUAUCAAAAACAACUCCAAAUAUAUAAAAAAAUAAAAAAAUAAAAUCUACACCAUUUUCUUCUUCCAUCUAUCACCACCACCAUCCCCUAUCUCCUCUUUCCUCUCCCUCUCUCUUCCUCCUCUCUUACUGUUCCCUUCCCCUUUCUCGCCACACCCCACUGCUCCCCUUCCCCCCCCUUCCCAAAAAUCUGGCCUCGAUCCGGGUGAGGCAUGGCUGGAAAAGGGAAGAGAAGGGGAAGGAAGGAGGGGAGGAAAAAAACGGAGGAAGAAGAUGGGAGGAGGGGAGGAGGAGGAAGAAAGAGAGGGAGGAGGAAGAGGGAGGGGGAAUAAAGAGAGGGAGGAGAAGGGAAAGGGUGGUGGGUGGUGAUGGUAAUUUUUAAAAAAUACCAAAAAAAUUUUUAAACUUUAAAAAUACUCCAAAAUAUAUCCCAAAAACACCUUCAAAAACAUUUACAGUAAAAAGUUUUUCAUAUACAAUGUUAUAGUAAAAUAUUUCAAAAACACUCUUGUAAUGCAUGGUCUUGUGACUUUGGUGCUUGAUUAUCAUAACCUUGUUAUGUCCAAUCCAUUGUUCUGUAUCAUAAGUUCGACCUCCAACCUGUGUUUUUAAACUCGGACCGGACAGGGCAGUCGAACCGGGAACCGAACAAGUGUCCGGUCCGAGUUACUCUAAAAAAUCAGGUGUAUAAAAACUCAGUCAAAAACUGGAUUUGACCGGCAAACCGGAUGAACCGGUUUGAUGUCAAGGGUUUUUUUUUUUUUUUUUUGAAAAGGUCAACAUUUUCAAUAUUAUGUUUUGGCCCCUAGGUUGUUAAAAAUUAUGAAUAUAUCACAAAUAUUUCAUACUUUAUAAUUGUUGUUCUAAAGUUUGGUGUUAUUUUUCAAUCAAAUCCAUAAUUUUAAUUCUAAACUUGUUAAUGUUCAUUUAAUAAUAUAAAUUACUACUUGAUCAUUCUAAUUUCUUUGUAUUUUCUUAUUAAAUAUAUUUGAAACAUCAAAUAUAUAUGAAUAUACAUUUAUUAAUAUUAACAUACUCUUAAGGAUUUGACAUAUAAUAUUUUAAUUUUUAAAUAAUUUUUAGUUAUGACAUUAUCCGAUUCAACCCCAAUCGAACCCAUUGACUCCUAAGCUCGACCAAGGCGAUGGCCGGUCCGACUCUGAAAACAUAGCCUCCAACAGCCUCAGAAUGCAUUUUUAAACCAAAAAGCUUCUCAGCCAGUGCAUGUAAAUGCAUUUUUUUUCUGCCUGUUUUGGUUCUAUUUGAUUAUAUUUAUUGCUGCAUAAGAAAGCAAGUUUUGCAUUUUGCAUCAGGGGUCCCAAAACCUUAGGGUGUGCAUUGUGGGUAAGGGCAGAGGUAGGGUGUUUAAUUCUUGGUUAAUCCUUGAGAGCAAGUCGAAUCCCAGUUUGGUAAGGAUGGAUGCGUUUAGUGAACCCUACAGUUCCCAGCUGCUGGUUUUCAACUGGAAAUUGAAAACAGAAAAGCAAAUGAGUAAAUUCAUAUUUAUUGACCUCCAGCUUGUUUAAUUAUCAGAGAGGAAUUUUUGUACUUGAAAAGUUUAAUAGAUAGAUUUGCAAACAUUUCAAAGCUUGUUGAGUGUCUUAUUAUUUAUUAUAAAAUUAUCAUUUUUUUUGGGAGGGGAGGGGUUGGAUAGAAGCUUAGAGACGUGGGAGUGUCGAAAUGGGAGUCCGUUGCUAUUGGUUGAGAUCCAUGGUCUGUAUGAACUCUCUGAACCUGAGCCUUGGGAUAAGAGAGUUGUAUGAAAAGCGUGAGAUUGUGUCUAUCAACUGAUUUUUCAUUCAUGCAGGGUAUUGCUCGGAAGCUGGUAAAGGCUGCAUUGCAAGAAGCAGCCAAGAAAAGAGAGAUGAGGUACUCUGACCUGAAGAAGAUAGAUCGUGGAGUUCGACGGCAUUUUCAUGAUGACAUUACGGUCAUAGUUGUUUUCCUAGAUUCGAAUCUUGUGAGUAGAGCCAGCACUUUGAGAGGCCCCACGUUGUCCCUAAGAGGUGGUGGUAUCAACGUGCCGGCGAAAGCUUUGGCUCCAACACAACUCGGUAGUGCAUGAAAUCUACAUCUGUUGUAUACUCUGCUGUGUCCUUCUGGAACUUCAUGUGACCAUCUUAUGGUAGAUUAAGAGAGACUGGAGAAGGUGCGGCACUAAUUUAAUUUUUACCCCCCGUGUAAAAUUGUAACGUUGACUUGGAACUGGUGUUUUGUUUAGUUUAUGAUCAGUAAAAAAGAGUGAAAGGAUAAGGAAGUAAAGGAGACCUUGAAAUUUACUGUAGAGAUUCUUUCUUGAGGAUUAUCGUUUCAGCUUAUAUUCAUUUUCCUUCCCUUGCCCGCCUCUUUUUUGAAGUGUAUCAUGUAAAUGGUGUAAAACUGAAUCCUCUUGAAAUCAAAAGAUUGUUUGUCUUGUUACAGCUUGUGAUUCAUCAUCUCAGAUGACAAAGUUAUGGUUACUGUAGCCUUAGGGGACUACAACUGCAUGUACCUCGUAAUACAUGGUGUUGGGCGAGAUAAAUUCGGCUUUUCAGGCAUGGAGAAUGGAUUUUACAUCUAGAGAGGAUUUGGUCCUUUUGGAAUGAUAAGUGCAGGUUUAUGACCAAGUUAAAUGAUGAGCGGCGAAGAAUAUGAUCAGGCUGAUCCCCAAGAGAUAUCAGUUCGGGCGGUACGGUAAGCAGACGGAUGCCGCCCAGCUUUAGGUUUUCUUCUUUGUUAUUCUUCCUCUUUCACUAGAAUCUAGUCAAUUAUAAUAACUUAGACCCUUGAACGAAUAUACAAGUACAUGUGUUCUGAUUAAUUGGUGAUCUUUGGGUAGAUAGGGUAAAGCAACAAGGAUAAGGUAUUCAAGCAUGGUUAGCCAUCUCAGUGGAGUCCGACAAAACUCAGUCGAGUCAUCAUUGGAACAGAGGAAUUGUUACGAUAUUGAUCUCUAAAUUGUAAAUAAAUCUUGCGGUGGCUCGCUCUGACUUGAUCGAUAUUGGACAAGUCAAAGCCAAGUCAAAACUGAAAUCGACGUAAAUCUUCGAGUCCACUUGGGAAUCAAACAAAGGCAGACAAAAAUUUGCAGAAACAGAGUUAUGCAACAAAUUGGUGCUACUCCAAUGGUUCACAACAACAAUUGCCUUUCAUCAUAUCUCUAUUGUUUUACCUUUUUUUUUUUUUAAGCUUUUAUUGGAAAAUUGAACGCCUAAUAAUUGAAACCAAACAAGCAAAUUGAUAGGUUAUGCACUUAUCCUUUUAGAAGUCAAGCCCAUCUCCAUUUUUCCUAACAAUAGCCAACAAUCAUGUGUGAGUUGAAUCCCAUCUCCACCAAGUCUUGCCUUUGCCUUUGUUUUUAUUAGAAAAGAAAAGAGUUUUUCAGGAAAAUUUAAUCCAUUAGUAACGGCGAAGGGAAAGGAAGAAAAGGGAGGGAAAGGCUCAAGAUUUGGUAGCCAAUAAGGAUGAUGCAACAUGAUGGUCGUGACUAGUGAUGCUAAUAUGACAAGUCAAUCAAAGGUCAAGGAGUUAGGAAGCUUUGGGGUUAAAGGCUUAAAUAGGUGCUAAUGUGAUAAUUAGGGUAAAUAUGGGUUUUUCAACUUUCAAAUUUAGGGCAAAUUAUCCAAUUAGCUCUUGAACUUUUUAUCUAGGUAAAAAUAAGCCUCUCAUCUAUUUUUGGCUGAUUUUAAGCCCUCGAACUUGUAAAAUUGAACACCGUGACUCUUUUAGCCAGUUUAUCCGAUUUUGCAACCGGAAGGCCAAUUUACAUGAAUGCCUGUGUGAUUCUUCAAAAGGCAUUUUUGUCCGCAUCUUCUAGGUAAAAAUGGAACAACUCCUCCUAGUUUGUUAUCCCAGUGAAGCAGAUGGGUACUUACUUCACUCGACUAGCUUCUCAAAUCUCAGUGUGGGUGUGUGUGUCUCAAUCAUGGAAGCAUACAAACUAUAGCGUGUUCGUACUUACCAGAAGAAGGGGACCGACAACAUAAGAAAAACCAGCCAAGAUAGAAGAGGAAGUUCAUGGAAAAGGAAUAGAAUUGUUUUUACUACAUACUUCUUGUACGUAUUUCAGUUUGAGGUUUUGAGGAGAGGUGCGGUUUCUUUCACAGUGGUAAAAUGCAGAAAUAAUACUCGGUCCAAGAAGAAGAGGAAGAGUGGUUAAAUUUAUAAUUCCAGCAUCCAUCUCUGGGGAAAUCAAAUUAAUUUCAACUCUGAGUAAAGAUGGCGGAUACUACUAGUAAUUAAUGGGGAAGUUGCACGGGAACAACCUCGGAUCCGUGGUGUUCGACCACCCGACUCCCGGCGGAGGGCGUCAGUUUAAGAUUUGGUCAGCCUCAUUCCGCCGUAUUAUACUGGACACAGUUCAGUGCGGGACGCGGCAGCAUCAUAAGCUCAACAACACUGGCAAAUUAACCAUCCAAGAGCCCAAGCUGGAGCCCGACAUUGAUCUCACUGUAGUCACAACACUGAGAUAUGAGUUGAGUAAAGGUAGUAUUAGCAGUGGGAUUAAGGAUCCAACAAACACACCGCCCUCCGAAUCUGACAAGUUAUCAGACCUUCUGAAGCUAUCGGAAAAAGAAAACGAACCGGACGAGGAAGAGGCGGAGGCGGUGAAGAGGAAAGUGGAGGCACUGGAGGAAUUGAAGACAGUGGUGAAGAAUCUCCAAAGUAGCAGUAGUGGUAGCAGCAGCCAACAACUCGAGGAAAAUGAAAACCAUGGCUUCUUAGCUCCAGAUGUUCGCGUGUUGGAGGCAGCCAAGGAGAUUAGAAGGCUCGCUAAAGGCGAUUCUCAAGCCAGAACCACUCGUGCUUUGCUCGGAGCAAUAUCCCCGCUCGUGGCUUUGCUGGACGCCCCCCCGCAAUUCUACUUGUAGUACUUAUUCAUGUUUGUUCCUCCUUCCUAGAGAAAUUCCUCGAGGAUCCCAAAUUCGAGAUUGAAUCUGUAAUCCCAACAAGAUUACAGAUUCACUCCAACAGGAUGUAAUCUUGUUGUUACCCCAGUGAAGAAGGAGGAGUUGUUCCCUUUUGCUCAGAAGAUGCGGACAAAAAUGCCCUUUGAAGAAGCACACUGGCAUUCGUGUAAAUUGGCUUUUCGAUUGUAAAACCGGAUAAAUUGGUUAUAAAAGGGUCACGGUGCCCAGUUUUACAAGUUCGAGAGCUCAAAGUCAACCAAAAAUAGAUGAGAGACUUAUUUUUAUCUAGAUAAAAAGUUCAAGGGCCAAUUGGAUAAUUGACCCUCAAAUUUAUGGGCUUUCAAGGGUAUGGAAUUUGACAUUUUGAAGGUGGUUUUUACAAAGGAAUUUUUUGGGCCUAUUUGAUGGAAGCGCAGAUUAGCUAUUUGAGCAAAGGUUUGUUAAUUUGUUCAUUUAUUUGAAAUUGUUAAAGGUUUUAUUUCUAAUUUACUAUUUUCCUAGAUUUAAUAUUUAAUAUUUUUGUUAUGUGAUUUGCAAAUUUAUGUUACAUAUGCUUAACAAUAUAAUUACUUAGACUAGAUUUAUGGUUUGUUCAACAAAUUUCUCCUUAUAUGUUAUCAUCAGCUCGAGUGCGAUUAAUAUUGUGUUGUAUAAAAUAUAACGGUUUUAAUCUUAUAUUUAACUUUUGAUAUCAUAUAAAAUAGGAAUAAAAGGUGUUCUUAAUGGUAAAAUGAUUUACUUUUAAUGCUAUAGAUCAUUAGUUACAGUAGCAUAAAUUUGUUUAACUAAUUAGUGACACUGUAGGUAUUUAACAAAUCUAAUUUGAUAAUUGUACUUGUUAUGGUAUUUUCUAUUUUGUAGUAAGUUUUUCAUAUUUUUUGAAAAUUUUUAUGUGCUGUAACGUGCAUAUCAUCUGAUAUCCAACCGACAUGUCACGACGGAUAUGGAACAACCGCAAUCACGACAUGAGACCUGCGACGGCGAACCAUGUAUCCAAGGGUCCAGAAAAGCCAGAAACCUUUAAAGAUGAAUUUGAAAUCAUGUCAGAUAUCUAGAGCUGGAAAACCAGGCUGAAAUGCAAUGAUGGAUGCAAUCUAGUUGCUACUUUGGAUGCAAGAGACGACGAGAGAAUUAUCUGAAGCAACUUUUGAACUCUGUGGAUGACAUCGAUAUAAUUCUUCAAGAAAUGCUGCAAAUUUUCACUUCCUAUGCAAAGAUAUUAUGCCUUUUCAGCUUCAAUAUUUCACGAACUUGAAUGCUUACGAAAGAGAAAACCAAGAAAACUAAACUGGAGAGAAAUUCUACUUAGAAAAGUUCUUAUGUACAUGUGCCCCCCAAUCCUUGAAAUUGGACAGUGAAUGCAAAUAAUCCUCAGAAGAACAUAGGAUUCAAAUCUACCCAGUUGGCAACUCAAGUACCAAAAUAACCCUUUACAAACAUACAAGCAAACCUUCUCUCUUUCUCUAAAACACACAAUGUUAUAAUGGGUAAUGGCAAAUCAUGCUAACAUCAUAGUCUAAGCUGAAUUCAUUUGCCCCUGUGACCUUGUCCUCAUCCAUGCUUAUACUUAUCUCCUCAGCAAUGCCUCUUAGAUUCUUUGCAGCAGCAUCCAUGUUAAUGCUGUGCUCGAAACACGUCAAACUCGAACUCCGGAAAGAGUGACUAUCUAUGUCUACAUGAAAUUUUUGAAGUCCAAUUCCAUCUAUGCUUAUGGAACUUUGAGAAUGACCAUUGUCAAUCGAUCCGCGAUCCCGAUAACCAGUUGAUCCACUACGGAAUCCUGAUAGUUCCUCGGAAUACAAUGAAGAUUGUUUAGGUAUAAAGAUUUCUACUGAAUCAAGAGCUGUCUCUAGUUCUUGCCACACUUGAGUCAUUGUAGGCCUCUCUUUCGGCAUCUCCACCACACAUCUUAAUCCAAGUUGUCCCAUCUUCAACAUUAUCUCCAUGUUACAUUCCUCUAGUAGAAUAUUUGCAUCUAUGAUUUCGUCAACUCUUCCUCUCUCCAGGCUAGACCUCGCCUGCACUUUUGGAAGAAAAAAAGAUCAUUCCAUUUCUUCUUUCUCACUCGAUCAUAUCUGGAUAAUGCAUGUGUUGGUGCAAAAUACACAAAAAUCAGCGCGGACAGCAUGAUUGCAACAAAAAUAAGGACCAAAAGGGGCACUUGUAUGUAAUGCUGGUAUUCACGUUUAUUCUACAUAAUAAGAUAGCCGGAUCUUUUACUUACCCAAUCAACAACAUGAAUAUUAGGGUGUUUUCUAGAUGAAUCGACUGCAGGUCUAGCAGUAACAAGUUGCAGAAGAAUGACACCGAAGCUAUAAACAUCGGUAAAAGGACUUAAAUGGAAGCUUGCACAGUAGGCAGGGUCAAGGUACCCUGGUGUCCCUUUAAUCUGACUGCUUACAUGUGAUUGAUCCCCCACAGGACCUGAUUUAACAAGGCCAAAAUCUGAGACCUUAGCCUCAAAAUUCUCGCUUACUAAGAUGUUACUUGGUUUUAUAUCUCGAUGGAUUAUACUUGGCUUUACUCCUUCAUGCAGAUGAGCUAUCCCUACAAAAUUAAGCAGAUGAUGCAGUUUAGGAAUUGACCCCUUCUUGUACUUUUUAUCAUUGAACUGUAAAAAGAGCUCUCGUUAGAACUCACCCUUGGCUGCUCCAAUUGCUAUAUUUACUCUUUGCCUCCAAGUUAAGCUCUUUCCUCCCCUUCCUGUAACAGCAAUCAUAUAUUCAUUAAGAAUAUUCAUGUACAUUAUGACAAAAAGUAACUUCAAAAAAAUUUUUUUUUUUGAGUUACUGAGAUUUGACUAAUACCCAAACAAGUGUUACAGAAUACAAGGGGUAUGCCCCUGGCACCAACACUAAUUCAAUCCAUGGUAGGAUUAACAACAAAACACCCACCCAAAUCUAACACAAUCCCAACUUAAAAUCCAACACAAGUUAUACAACAAUAGAAGAUCAUUAACGAAAAUCAUGGUAUGUUAGUAACCAAGACAUCUUAGGUUCAAAACUUACCCAUGAUAUAAUCAAGUAAUGAACCAUUGCUGACAUAUUCAUAGACCAUUAUCUUUUCUGCUCUUGAUCCUGAUGAAACGCAAGCUAAUUAGACACUUGGUGCAUGAUACAUCUAUGUGCUGUUAGGUAAAUAUCUCAUGUUUAGGUACAUCAUCUUACAACAUUAGUCUGCCUACGCAAGUAAAAAUCAGACAUUUAUCGGUGUUAUAGUUUACCAGCUUGCUCGCAGAACCCUACCAGACCAACAAGGUUCUCGUGCUUCACUUUUGAAAUCAACCUGACCUCUGUUUCACAAACAAACCUAUAGUGAAUCAGUUUUACAAAUCGGAUGGAAAACUAUGUGGCUAUGAAAGAAAUAAAUGGUAUAGCACAAGUUAUGGAGCGUUGCCAUUUCUAAAUUCCUCGAUGCUUGUGCAUGACGAAGGAUGAAGCUUUUUGAUUGCCAAUACUCCCUCGGCUUCAAACGAUCCUCUAUAUACAUUUCCAAAUGCGCCAGUACCAACCAAGCAAUCUUGGCUAAAAUUAUUAGUUGCCUUCUGUAGUUCUUCUAACUGAAAUCUUCUUGACCACAUCUUUCCCGCAUCCAGCUUACCUAAACAUUGCCAAGAACUGGCUCAGCCUUUUCGCGUUGAACAUGCCUUAGAAUCUUAUCAAACAUAACAUAAGACUAAUUGACUUACCUUUGCCGUUUUGUCGUAACUUACAGCCUGCAUAAAGCUUCCUCUUGUAACAAAUAAUCAACCAGCCAAUCACAAAUACGGCAACAAUAACUAUGAUAAUCCCUCCCCAUACAUGUUUGCGCGCAAGAAAUGAACCACGAUUUUCAGUUUGUGCAGGUGCUAAAGCAGGCAAAGAUGGUGUUUUUUCUGCCAUGAUGCGUUGAUAUCGUUUCCCAAUUAGAAAAAUGGCAUGAAAUCCAACUCGUAAGUUUUAAUUCUUGCAAGUCUAUUCGUUAAAACUACUACUGAGUUUACUCUCUUCUGUAUAUUAAUUACUCGCUCUUUCAAAUGAGCAGUAGCAUUAUUUGAUUCCUCUUUUGCAACAGCUGAUUGACUAAUUAAGAAGCAAUCAAGCAGAAGAAACAAAGAAACAUAAAGGCAGAUAUAUGGGGUGGGGGGAGUUUAAUCUCAGCCGGCUACCCUCAACCUCAAGUUCAAUUGUCGCAGUCCAGUCUCAUCUCUGACUCGGUCACUGAAUUCUUCUCUCCAGACGGCACACCAGGACAAGGAAGCAUGCAAUCAAACAAUUAUUUUCCAUAAAGAAGAAGAAAACAAACCUACUCUUAAUUCAAUAAUUCUAAAGAUAGUUCAGCCAACUGGUUAAUCAACUUCGUGCAUUUUCUCAGACAUGAAACAGGAUACAGCUUGCAUGCAAACUGGCUUGGCAGAGGAUAUUGUUUUAUGAAGUAAAACAAGUAGGAUGGCCUGUUUCCUCUAGCGGAGAUCAUUUCUGCUUUUCUUCUUGAUGACAAAAAGAGGGGGCAGAGGCGACCAGCAAUAGCUCCCAUGGUUGUAGACAGGGAAACAAAGGGAGAAUCAGAAAAGUACCGAAUUUUAUUUAUUUAGCAAGUAAACUUCAACAAAGAACAAAAUACGACUUUGGCAAAUUUGUCCAUGCAUACAAAUUUUCUAAUAUUACAAGAUUAGGAGCUUGAAAACGAUCCAUAAUAGUCAUAAUUUCUUAAUCUGUUACUUCAGUAUAUCGUUCAAUUUUUUAAACGAGACAUCAUAAAUAUUUCUACUACAUUAAGUUUUUAUGUUUCUUAAUAGUUCCAUUGAGCUCUAAACAGCCUUUCAAUUGACGGUCUUGUGAAUCAUUAAUUUCUUUGGUUUUAAAUUCAAUGAAUCAUACAAAAUACAGAAGCCGAUCAUGAUGAACUAGAAAAAGCCAUCAACCUUGGAUGUCAUCCCCCUCGUUUAUUUUCAACCGAAGAUAAUGACCAGUUCUUUUUGAAGAAAGAGGUAAUCCCUCGGACUUUAUCAAAGUAUCUAAUAGCUAGUUUGGGAGGAUGGAAAUGAAAAGAAAAGAAGAGAAAUGAUAAUUUAGAAAAGAAAAGAAAGGAUCAAAGUUUCUAUCUAAGUUGUUUGGGAGUUUUAAAAAAGAAAAGAAAGUGAGUAAUUUUCCUUUGUUUGGGAGUUGAAUGCAAAGGAAAGGAAAAGAUACUUAAACAAAUUAUUUUAUAAAUAUGCCCUUUCUAUAAACAAAUGUGAGAGGGAUUCAUCAGGUAUUAAAAUGUUUUGUAUAGGAUUUUAAGGGUAAUUUGGUCAUAUUAAAAAAUUUACUUAAACUUCUGUCCGUUCCUUCCCUUUCCGCCCAAUGUUGGGCGGAAAGUUUUCCAAAAGAUGUAGGGCGGUGGAAUCUUUUCUAUUCUUUUCUUUUCCUUCUCAUUUUAACUCCCAAACAAUGGAAAAACUUUCUUAUCUCUUCAAAACCUUUCUUUUCUUUUCAUUUCUAUCCUCCCAAACUAGCUAUAAGUCUCUCUAUUAAUUAACAGUUUGGGCGCCUACCAGGCCCUCGUUAGUAGGGUUUGAAGGGUUUGAGGUGUUAAUUUCUUUAAAAAGUCAUUAAUUAAUUAAAAGCACAUACUCCUUCCGUCGCUCCCAUUUGAGGUGUUAAUUUCUUUAAAAAGUAUAGGUAAUUUGAGAAGGAAAGUGUCUAAAGACAGAGGAUUAUAUUAAUUGUGAAUGUGUAUUAAUAUAGUAAGUUAGGUGUCAUUGAUUAAUUAAAAAGCACAUGCUUCUUCUGUACAGUCCAAAUUACAGUUCACUUUCUAAUUGAAGAAUAUAAUUAACUUAUAAUUUCUCUAAAAUAACCUAUUUUGUUAUCAAUGACUAUAACCUAUCUUAUUUAUUAAUUGUUUGGAUUCAUGCCUUGAACCGUACAACUUUUCGUAGUACAAUUGUUGUAAUUAAUGUAAAAGUAUAGUAAUUAGUUAUACUCCUAAUAUUAAUGUAAGGGUAUUUUAAGAAAAUAGUAGGUUAGAUUUACUCUUCCGACAAAGUUAACUAAAUUUUCUUAAAUUAUGUUAAAAAAAAUAAAAUUAUCAAAGUGGGACAAAAAGAGCAUUUAUUUUGGUUGCCAAAUGACUAUGAACCACGCAACUUUCACCCCAAAACUUCUCUAUCUCCCCUAUUCAGUAAUUCUUGUAAGGGAAAUUUGCCAAAGUGGUCCCUAACAUUUAUCAAAAACACUUUUUUAUUCCUUUACAUAUAAAAUCAGCCAGAAUGGUCCUUCACAUUUAAAUUGUGAGCCAAUGUAGUCCUAUUGCUCGUUUUUGCUCAUUUCUCCGGCUAAAAAUAGCACGCCCCUCUCACAUGGUCGUAUUUUUAGGGGCAAAAUCGGAAACACAUUUCAUUACCCGUUGAAAGUAAAAGGAAUAGACAACCACCAAAAUACACAUUUCACCUUUGGCUCUCAAAGUUUCAAGAAACCCUAAAUUGCAUCCCCGAAUUAACAAGCAUUACUUGGAAAUGUACUGCUGAUGAUGACGACGGCAAACCUGUAAGGUGUGAUUGAGAAAUAAUCAAAAAUUUGGCCAGAAAUUCGUGAAGAAAAUAAAAAAGAUGCAGAACGAAUCGGGAAAUGGGACUUCACAAUGGGUUUCUUGAAACUGCUGUUGGCUGUUGAAUAAGUAUGUGUAUUUAGCUCGAAUCUCAUUUUUCAGCAUUCCACUGCUAUUGGCGUUUGCUAAAUUCUGAUUUUUUUUCGAAGGAUCUUUUAGUUUCAUGCCCUUUUAUAUAUAUAUAUAUCUAGCAGCAGAAGAGAUGUCUGUGGCGGCUUCGGCUGCUGCUGCUGCUGUUGGGGCUGGAGCGGUCGCCUUGUUCAGACUAAAAGGUUGCCUUCUUCCCCCUCCACCUCCUCCUGUUCUUGUCUUCUACCGAGCUUUUGCACCAUUUCCAUACCGAUACCACUUCGCUUCUUAUUCUACUUCUACUUUGCUUUCACAAGAAGCAGCAGCUGCUGCUUCUCAUCUUCCACGCUCACAUGCCGCCAAUACCUCCUCCAGUGUGGUGGAAAUUCUUGAACAGAAGGGCCUGCUGGAAUCUCUCACCAGCGAUAGUCUCAGGUCCAUCUGCUCCUCCUUUGCCCCUAACCAACCACCUCUUCGAGUCUACUGUGGUUUCAACCCCACCGUCGACAGCCUCCACCUCGGCAAUCUCCUUGGCAUUAUUGUUCUCUCUUGGUUCCUUCGCUGCGGUCACCGUGCUGUUGCCCUCAUUGGGGGAGCCACCGGCCGCAUAGGUGACCCUUCUGGCAAGAGUUCCGAAAGGCCUGAACUUGACCUUGAAACCCUCCAGAAGAACAUUUCUGGGAUUUUCGCCACCAUUCGGGGAUGCAAUUUAGGGUUUCUUGAAACUUUGAGAUCCAAAAGUGAAAUGUGUAUUUUGGUGGUUGUCCAUUCCUUUUACUUUCAACGGGUAAUGAAAUGUGUUUCCGGUUUUGCCCCUAAAAAUACGACCAUGUGAGAGGGGCGUGCUAUUUUUAGUCGGAGAAAUGAGCAAAAACGAGCAAUAGGACCACAUUGGCUCACAAUUUAAAUGUGAAGGACCAUUCUGGCUGAUUUUAUAUGUAAAGGACUAAAAAAGUAUUUUUGGUAAAUAUUAGGGACCAAUUUGAUAAAUUUCCCUUCUUGUAAAAACAAAGACAGAGUUACAUCCUCUGCAACACUUGCACGCAUGAUGGCUUCACAGGCAUUCAAAAGAUAGUGAUGGAAAUUGUAUAGAUUGUUUCAAAAGGAAACUCAUAAUGGAGAAAAAAAAAUUCAGAAUUACAGAUAUCCUGAGGUCUGUAGAUCACCGGUUAACUCCACCAAAAGGUAAAUGAUGAGGCAUUAGAGAUAUAAAUAAUAAAUGAGUACUGCUACAACAGCUGUUCGUCGUCAGCUUCCGUUGUUUUUUGUGACAAGGUAACCUAAGAUGAAUCCGAAAGAGCCAAGACAAGCUAACGUAAGCCCAGGCCCAGCCUACUCGAAUCAUAAUGGAGUUUGGGUUGCCGCCGUUUGGGGUUGGACCGUCGCAGGAUUUUGAAGAUUGAUUCCACGGAAAAAGAGUACGUACUUGUUCUUUAAACUUGAUGAAGCCAGAGACUUGGGCCUUAGAAUGCGAUAUUUAACAUCACAAGUGCGGAUCCUUUAUUCUUGUCUUUUACUUUCUCUGGACCAAACGUGUGCUCAUAGUUAAACACUUUUCCACCAGCAAAAGAAUUUGUCAAAAUAAAAUAGAAAAACCAGAUAAUGCUAUUUAUAAAUCGAUCAAUCUAAAAGACAAAACCUCAGCCUUAUGCUACAAUUAAGGUCAAUUUCAUGUUAGCUCCGCUAGAUUAAGCUUUUAUUAUUAAUUAUUAUUAUCAUUAUUAUAUCACAUGUGAUGUAACCCACAAUUAUGAGAUCAAUACAACAAAAUUACAACUAACCCAUGCAAAUUAUAGCUCCUUCAACAUACAAGUCAACUAACCUCCAUUUGCUCAAAAAGGGCAAAAAAAAUCCAUUACUAGUAAGACAACUACUACUAGCAUAAGUUAGAAAAAAACUCGCAAGUUUUGAGACUCGAACCGGAAUCUUUUAGAUUUUGAGGUCCUAAUUUUGAUAUGUAUUCUUGGAGAAGUAACUUAUACUACAUGAUAACCAACAGAAUUGAGGUCAAACGUAUGGAAACAUCGAAAUCAUGAGAUUGGGAUUUUCCCUAAUUUGGAUCGAAUUGCCCAGUUCGUGCUCAAGAAGCUUCAUUUCGCAAGUUAAGACUAAUCCUUUCGUGUUGUACACUUUGGUGCAAUUUGAAACUUAUCAACAAUGACGAGUGAAUUGACUUUAUAAGUUGCAACUCCUUCAACCUUCUUCUGACAAAGACCAUCUUCAUAUGUGGGCUUAAAGAAGCUGAUGUAGGACUAGGAUGUGUAAAAUAAUCUGUACCACGUAGCAUUUCCCAUUUCUUGUAUUUGGAUUUAAUGUAUUUCAUACUCAUAAAAUGAUUUUGUUUGGUGUUGGACGGUAUAAUUCAUAAUUUGAAUUUUUCAACAAGUUUAAUAAAAUAUGUACACUAGUUUUCAAAUGCAUUCCAAUUCCUAUCCAACUUAACAAGGGGAUGAUGUAUGUAUUACCAUCACGUUUGAUUCCAAAUGCUUAGGAUACCUGCUUCGGUUUUCUUGUUAAGCCAAUAAGCCAAAGACCUUGAGCAUAUCUGCCGACACAGAUUUGGACAAGCCAUCAUCAUUCCGAAGUUCAGACUUCAGACAUGAAAAACUCAACAUCUAAAUGUAACUCUUACCCUCUUAGACAAGUGUCAUACAUGUCUGUCUUUGAUGUGGGUAGUUAUGAGCUAAUGGCAGAUGUACCGAAUCUGAUGUACUGAAUUUUUAUCCCCCAUUUUCCACUAUUUUCUUGUUUGAAAAAUACGUUUGGAUGGAUUCGACUCCGAUCAUCAUUAUGAACCAGAGCAUGUCUAGAUGAGAUUAUAAGUCGCUUAUAAGGGCUCUUACAUAUCGCUUAUUAAUACAAUUGUCACUAUUGUUAUUAUUAUUAUAAAACCCGAUAAGGAUAUGCAACGAAUUCGAAUUCAACAAUUCGGAAGUUUGAAUUAGGAAUUUUUCGAAAAUUUGGCAGCAGAAUUACCGAUCGAAUUCGAUUUCGAAUUCACCAGUUCCGAAUUCGAUUUUGAUUCAGUAAAUUCGAAAUUCACCGAAUUCGGAAACCCUUUUUCCCUUUUUUUUUUCCUUUUUUGUUAGAUGUAUAUAAUAUAAAUUUUAUAUUACAUAUAUUAUAAAAAAUAUUAUUAUUAUAUAUAAUAUAUAUUAUAAAACGAAAUUGAAAUCGGAAAUUUCAAUUUCGAUUUCCGAUUUCGAAAUAUGAAUUCGAAAUCGAAAAUUUCGAUUUAAAAAACUCUAUUACCGAAUUCGAACCAAAUUCGCAUAAUUCGAAAUCAGAAAUUCCAAUUUAAGUGUCGAAUUCCGAAUUACCAAUUUUGAAAAAUUCAAAUUCAAUUCGAAUUCGAUCGGUAAAUCAAAAUUUUUCGAUUUUUCACACUCCCAGAACUCGAUGCCUAGUGCUUCUUAGUCCUCUUUUGUUUUUUUGGGGGGUGGGGGGGGGUGUAUAAUUUUUGACAACACAUCUUUCUCUACCAAGAUUUUUAUUAGAUUAACGAACCUUUGAUAGUUCAAGUGGUUAAGUGGGUGCUAAGCAUGUUACUCUUUGCAUUGCAGCUAGAAAUAGUUAUAAAGUCCUUGUACGCUUACUAAGGUGAAAAUACAGGUCUCUUCAAAUAACACAAUUCUGAUGAUUUCUUCGCUGCGGAAUUCAAUCAAGGGCCGCCCUGCCAGUACAAGAGGUCCCCAAAAUAAAUUCCUGUUUGGAUGCAUCGUGUAUCAUCUUGGGCAGGUGUGGAAUAAACUAGAGAUACAAGACUAACAAAAUUAUGGAAACAUCUACGUUCAAAUUUAUGACUACCACAAUUUCAACGAUUGCUGUAAAAAUCACAUUCACAAUCAAUUGACUUAACCAUUCAUAAGUUAGUCCCAACAUCAUCUUUAAUGAGCCAUGCAUACACCUCAAAAAAAAAGUCCCUAGUGACUGCUGUACUGUGGGCAACCUACAACAUUUUGCAGACUGCAAUUGGUGAGGAUGUCAGAGAAUUGGAAGGAAAAUCCAGGUUCAUCUCAUUUCCUGUAGUAAUAUGGUGGAAAUUUCAAAGAUGUUAGUUUUUUUUUUCUCACAAAUGAUCAAGAACACACGCACACAGUUAGAUAACACUCGGAGAACACAAAAGAUGUUAGAUUAACACGAAAGAUGUUAGUUAUUCUCACAUCUUUUAUCUCCACUCUCUGACUUUCAAAUAAAGAAAAAACCUUCUCCUUCCUUGCAAAGGAGGCUUGAAACCCUUUCAGGAUUGAGUUGCUUAGCAUACAGCACAAAAAUUAUCAUAAGCUAUUGUAACAUUCUUUGGUCAGGUAGGACUCUAGUGUCAGAAUUUGGUAGCUGUGCUUCAAACGAGUUUGAAAGUCUACUGUUCAUGGCAGUCAUAGUAAUACACAAUCUUUAACUAAUCUAAAAACCAUAAGUCCUUUUAUCAAGCAAAUAGUAGUGCUUUGAAAGUAACAGGUUUCAAAAUAUAUGAGAAUCCUAUCAAACUUGCUCCUGGGGAUACUUAUCGUCAAAUCCAAUUCAACACUCCAAACUUAAACCUAAAAGGACGAUAUAGAAGAAAGAAACAAUAAUAGUCUUUUAACUUGACUGACCCAAUAAUUUACGUUGGCCUACACGGAUGUCUUCUUUCAAUCCUAACAUAGGGAGUAAAUAAGCUUGUCCCCAGCUCCCAAUUAAAUGUAAACAACCAACAACAAUUACAGAUGCAUUUGUAUCAGGGUCCCAGUUCCAGUGGCUCAUAAUUGCAUCUGGUCGGUGUUGCUCACUUCUCUGGCACUAAAGAGUGACAGGCAGAUAACAAGACCAGGAAAGUUCUCAAGGGCUUGCCUCAUAUGCAGGCACGAAGGCCAUACCCUAUAGGAGGACGAGUACUCCCCAAAUUAGCUGUAGGUAAAAAAUUGAUCUCCUGUACUUGAAAUGAUAAGUUCGCCUAGUACAGUGCGUUGAAGACCGAAUAUGGGUUAUAUCCCUCGGCCAAGAACACUCACAAAGUGGUCCUGAUGACCUUAUGGGACAGGAACAAACACACAAACAACCCCCACCCAAAAACACCAAAAACAAAAGAUUUGAGACCAUAAACAUGCCCUUGAUUCCUGCUUCCUAAUCAUGCUCAAGACGACUCUUUCUACAUCUUUAAGACAGAAAUUUUGACAUGAAAAGUGAUAUGAGAUUUUGAUCAAAACAUCACAUGACGAGAAAGCACUAGGGAAUCAGAUCACUAUCAUAAACCUCAAAAUUUUUUUACAAGACUGAUGAUCAAGUACAAGACUGAACUAAGCGUGACAAACUCGUGCUAAUUACAUGUGGCUGUUUGGAAAAAUGGUAUAACUGAGGGUUUAAUUGAAUAAAUAGAAACCCUAUAUACUAAUGUAUAAUUUACAAGAACAGAAAGUUUACAGGUCCCUUCUGCACAAUGGACAAGAUCCAUGCCUCACCAACCAUGUGUCGAUGCAUGGUAGGUGGAACAUGUGGUGACAAUGAGGUAAACUUCUAACAGUCUCCCCAAUCUGAAAGUCCUGCACAGAGAAACAACCAAUACAUUAGAUGAGAAUUUGCAAGCAUUCUGGACUAAUAAUCAAAUGGCAUAAUACAAAGAGUAACUUGUAAAAGUACCUGAAGGCAGACGGAACAAGAAACUCGCUCGCCAGAAUCAUCGACAUUGUUAUCGUCCGUGAUCACAAUCUUUGGUAUCUUUUCAACAGAAUCUCCAGGCAAACCCUUGGCACCCCCAGUGUCAAAUAUGUUGGGGACCUCUUCAAAUGUCGUUUCAACAGCUCCCAUCUGAUUCAUCAGCAAAACUAUAAGCAAACGAAAAAAUUAAAAAGAACAUAAGAUUUUCUGAGUAACAGGAAUUUGCUCUUGCCUGACUUUGCACUGCACUUAACAUAGCAGGACCAAUCCGCUCACGAACAAGUCUGCCGCUUAACAGGCUCGCAAUGACAUCGAUCUGAUGAAAAAAUUCAUGAUAUUUACACAUAUUAGGCACACAUAUUUUCAAUGAAUAAGAUGACUGAGUCGCUAAUGAAGUCACAAUUGCAAUACAUUUGCAGAAUUAAGGACACCAAUUAAGAUGUUCAGAUUAUGAGAAAAUAUAGAACUUUGCUCACCAAAUAAAGGAGGCACCCAAUGCCAGAUUCAUCAGACUGCCAUAGGAGAAGGGAUGACUCGAAGACCUCAAUGGAGAAAACAGCUCCAGAUAUUGCACCAACUGCAGCCCCUCUAACAAAUCCACUUUCAGUCUCUUGGCCUAUCAAGGCUCCAGUCAUAGCUCCUAAUAAAGUACCCACUGCAUAACCAAAAGCAAGUUAAUUUCCCCUUCAGUUUUCCUUUAACCAACCAAAUAACAGAGUUCCACAGGCCAAGGAUUACCUAAACCUAUUUCAUUUUGUAAUACAUACAUAAUAUACAUAUAUGAAUUUCUGACAGGUUGAAGCCCAAAACCCCUGCCUAUUUGGGGAAUUUAAGAGAGAGAGAAAUUUAGAUGAAAAACCGUCUACAGCAAAAUGCUCAAGAAGAUUUCAGAAUGAUUCCAAAGAUUCUCGCUUUUCGUGCAAGUAUCAAAUGAUCUAAAGACAAUACCGCAAUACACCAAUUUUGGCAACAUUAUGAACUAUCAGUCGCGAGAUCUCAGACAAAACUAAAGAUGAGAGAAAAGGAGGAGGUUAGUAAAAUUCUCUCUUUUUUCGAUAAAUAAAUAUGGGCAAAUUCUACAAGCUAAUUUGCACACAACAUCAUUUGAAAAAUCGACAACAUCCCAGAUCGCAUAUGUGCAAAUUCACAUCAGAUAACACAAGUAAAUCUAGAAUCAAUGGCCAUUUGACCACAAAAUUGCAAACUUUAAGAGAAACAGUGCAGGGUAGAGGGCAAGCGGGAUAAUUAUAAUGAAACAAUUAAAUUAAAAGGAAAACUAAAGGAUUAACACUCACCUAGUGCAAAGAAAAAGGUGAAGAUUGCAGAGAAUACAUUUCCAAUAAUAGCAGAAACUGCAAAGCUGAAAUAUUGUUUAACUUUAUCGGCCAAAUUCCUGAAUGAAAAUGAGAAAGAAGAAGAAGAAGGCAAAGAAUGAGAUGGAUAAGCAUAAAACUCCAUGGAUUCUGUCUCCAAUCUCAAGAAUUUAGAAAAGGGUUUUUUUUUUUUUUUUUAUUGGGAAGAAAAAGAGGAUUUUGGUUCAGGUCUAUAACCUAUAAGGAACCAGCUACAUACAGAAAUAUCUAAGCUUAAUUAUGUACGUGUUGUUGGACAUAUAUAGGGCAUAGGGUAAGACUAAGAGGAGAGGGGGUCCAUAUGGUGGCGUUUUCGUAAUAUUGUCCUUAGUCCUUAAGAGAAGAUAAAAGGAAACCACAUAAACCAACUGGGCUUUUCUUCUAUUGUUAAUUUUCGCAGAAAUCAGUAGUGUGUAAAUAGAGGAUUUAUAACUUUUUCUUCUUCUUGUCCUGUGGGACUUGUGGAUUCCCUUCUUUAUUUCAAUAUUUCACAGGCUUUUUCUUGUUUCUUUUACUUCUUGUUUUCCUUUGUGUGAAAAUUAUGCCAUCUAGUAUGUACAAUUUACAGCAGUGAUUCCUAAAUAAAGAUUGUCACUAUUCGGUAAAUUUUAUUUUACUUUUUUUUUUUUUUAUCAAUACAAGGGAUAUCCCAAUUUAUGCUGCUGGACUAAUACCCUAUGACUGUGCACCCUUUCAAGAAGACACAACCAGUAAAAAGGGGCUCGAACACACGAUGAUUAGAUUCGUAACUGCUAACCUGCGGCCAACCCUGGUGGCUGUUCGGUGAAUUUCAUCUGACUACUUAGGUUCGUAAAUCAGUUUUGUUGUUGUGCUUCUUUUUGCCGUUGAAUAAUUAUAGCAUGUAUGAUUCCCUAGUACACGUUGCUCCGCUACGUUUUCAGAGGCACGAGAAAGCGAAGCCUCCCUUUGACAAAACUGAGCGUGUUUGUUUGGUUUGGGGUUAAAUGGUCCAACAAAUGAUCACAUGCCGAGUCUAACACUCGUUUUCCCUCAAUCCAAAAGCAAUGGGAAAAAAAGAAAAUUAAAAAGAAAAUAAAAAGAGAGAAUGAUAUAUUUUCAAUUUUCAUUUUCCUUUAAUUUUCUAGUUGCCUCUUCUACCAUUUUUUAUCCUCCUUUGUUCUUUUUUACUGUAAAGAAAAACUUUUCUUAUUUUUUUGGUGUCAAAACUAGCUUUGGGAACAAGUUUUUGUGAGGGUUUGCUAAAUUAUGCUAUAUUUGACAAUGAGACGUGACUUAAUUCAUAAGACGAUUUACCGGUGAUCAAUAGAUUGCGGGUUCGAAUUAUCAAAGGAAUAGGUGAAGAAUUAUUCCUGAUCCUUUUUAAUAAAAAAAAUUACUACUACAACAGAUCCUGUUUUCUUUUUCUUGUCGAGAACAGCUCAAGGGGCUGGUUCGAAUUUAUUCCUCUGUCAGCUUCAAGUUCAUUUUUUUCCAAAUUUUGUUGUUGAGGUGGUGGGGGUGGACUUUCAUCUCCAAGUCCAUUCAUAGUUCCCUUCUACCCUUUAUUCCAUUCUCAUUUAGUUAGAAUCAUGAAUAUACAUUUUUGCCUCAUUUUUGUUUAUUGUGUUGACAUUAGGUGAUUAUAAAAAACAUUUCGUAGCAGAUAAAAGUUUGUAUCAAAAACCAAUAUCAAAAUAGUACAAUAUGCCCUAAAACAUUUUCAUUAAAAUUUGUAUCCCGAAGACAAAAAGAAAUGUGUGGAAAAAGUCUUGCUGAUAUAUAAAAAUAUAUAUAUAUAUAUAAUUCUACAAAACUAUAAUCAUGUACUAAUAAUUAUUUCAAAGCUUAACAAUACUAUUUAUUUAAUCCCAAGGCUCCAUUAUAUGAGGCUGACUACAAUGGAAGGGUCACCAUCUCUGCCGUCUCAGCUCAGCUCUUAAUUAAAGUGCAGAGAGGUUUUCGCACUGUUUCUUAAACACCUUUUCUCUUUCCCCGCCAGUGGGCUUGCUGCAAUAUCACAGAAUUCACAGGCCCUAUUCCUUUUUCUUUUUCUUUUUCUUUUUUUUUUUAAUACUGUCCGAACAGAAAUUGCAGAUGCGCGUAUUUGCAGUCGAAUUUAUUAUCAAGUGUUAAUGCCAUUAGUAGCAAUUAAUCACUUUCAACUGUGAUAGUUCAAAGAAAGUUCCUUCUGAAGUGGACCCAAAGGGCCAAAUCUCAAAAUUAAAGUUUAAGCAUGACAUCUACCAAAUUUUAGCGAGGGCAAGGACUUAAAUCGCCGGCCACGAUUUUAUUUGAGAGAUUUUGUUGAGAAACGUACUGAUUAGAGCUUCUUCUCAGAGACGUACCCUCGCCUAGCUUUGUCUCUUAAUUACGCGUUUUAAUAGUAGAUGAUUGAAUCGGUAAUUCUCUGUUUCAAGAAUACUCUUUGAUAUUUUGUAUUCAGAUUAAUACACUAUUUUUUAGGCCAGAAUAUUCCCCACAACUAAAGAAAUGGAUCUGUCUAAUAGGUGUCCAUUACACACACCGGUUAAGAUGUAAUUCAGGUAUUAAAUUUUUCAAAAAAACUAGCAUUAAUUAGAAAAAGUGCGUAAAUACAAAUAAGUGUAAUAAUUGUUUAAGUAUGUAUGUACACGGUAGUUUAGAUGGAAUUCAAGUGUGCUAACGAUGCUCAUUUGGACACAUAUACAUUUUUGGUCUUUUCAUUUAAUGUUAUGACUAUUAUUUUUGUUAUUUAAAUGUUCUGUAUUUGUAUCAUUUUAUUCUUGAGGACCCGAUGACACUCAUUAAUCACAACUUACCAUUGUAAAGAGCAAAUGCAUAUUUAAUUAUUUUUUUUAAGUACACCUAAACAAAUCAUUUAUUUUCCCCACUCAAUUAGCCGCUAUGAAAACACAAACAGCAAGAAGCUAAUUUCUGUGCGGACAACAAUACUUAAAAAGUUAAGUGGCAGCUAUUAAAAAGAUCAAUCCCAGUACAAAUGCCCUUUCUAUCGUUUAUUAUUUGCAAAGUGCGAUUAGCAGUUAACAUUCUCACUACCUCAUUUAAAGAACUUUUCUAAUAUUUUCCAUAACAUAUUUUCAAAGUGCUUUUGACAAUUUUUGACAAAAAAAAUUGAUUUACUUCUGUAGAGUACAUUAACUCUAGAACAGAGGAAUGCACUCUUUCAUAAAAAAAAAAAAAAAAAGAAUUAUUGUUAAUUAUACCAAGCAUUUAGCACCUACUGUACCUUUUGACAAUAUGAAAAAAGGAUAAAUUUUACUUUAUACCCUUGAAUUUGUAUCACUUUUCUACUUUACACCUUAAAUUUAAAUUUUGAACACACACCCUAAACUCUUAAUUUUUGGUAUUUUGCACCAUAAACUCUCAAAUUUGUCCCAUUUAAUUCCAAUGAAUGACAACUCUAGAAAAAUUAACGGCAUAAAGGACACAAUAAAUCAAUGAUAAUGUGCUGAAAGUAGUCAAAGCUCAAAAGGUGUCAAGAUAACAUAACAAAAAUAAAACAAUACAUUGUUAUUAAUGUAUAUUAUCUUGUUAAUUUUGCUAAUAAUAUUAGUAAUCGAGACCUUAUAAAUCAAUGAUAUGUACUAAAAGUGGUCAACAAAAUUAAAGGAUCGCAUUAAUUUUUAUAGCUCUUUAUCUCAUUAAUUUUGUGACCGUAGUCAUUGAUUAGAAUUAAAUUUGACCAACUUGAGAGUUUAGGGUGUAAAGUAUCCACAAUUAAGAGUUUAUGAUACAAAAUAUCUAAAAUUGAAAUUUAUGAUGUAAAGUGAUACGAGUUCAAUCAUCCAAAAUGGAAAUCGUCCAUAGGAAAAUGAUAAGCAGAAUAUUACCACAUAAAGUAGUGUGCUAUAUAUAAUAAGCUUCUUCACAGUUGCUAAAUAUAGACCCACCGAGAGAAUUAGCAUGGCUAAUUAUAAUAAGCUUUUGACCAAUACACAAUUCAUAUGACAAUGCCCAAGUUCUUUUGUUCCGUCAUUUGUACCCAUCAACCAAUUUGAUUGCUAAUGCUCAGGGUGGCUGUAAUUUAACCCGGUGUUGAUGAUGACGGGUUUUUUUCCACGACUGCACUAGGAAUAGUUGAAUGAGAAAAAAUAACGUAAAGUCUGGGAUUAGUUGAAAUGGUCUUUGUUCAGCAAUUCAUCAUUGGAAUAAUCGCAAAGGUACUUUUCGCAAGUGCAUUUGGACCAACAUUUAUAUAUUUAUUGAAAAAGAUUUGGAACAAAAACCACCACGUCUGCUCGGAAUAAAUUAGUAAUUUACGUAGAAAAUUUCAUACUACUACUAAACUUUCUUGGCGGCGCCAGAGGCUUAAAAUUUCAGAAGUCCACACCUGGCAAAUUUAUGCUUCUUUUGAAUUUAGGAAACGAAAGAAGAGCCACGACAUCCCCUCAGUGGAAAAGGAAGGACAACACCAAACCGCCUUCCCGUUUAGUUGACUUUGUUAAAAUAUUUGCGUUGCAUUCCCCGCCCUCAAAACAAUAAUAAUGCUAGCCAUUACAAAAGGAGGAGAGCCAAGAAUACAGAUGAUGCCAUGAGAAUCGAGGUAUCUUCUCAAUUGUUUCAUUUCAUCCCAAUCCAAGAAUGAAUUCCGCUUCAUUCUGCUUGCAAAAGCAAAUGCUAUUCUCCUUUUUUUUUUUUUUUUUCGAGACGAUAACUGUUCUAUAAUCUAAUCUAUCCUACAUUAGGGGGAGGGGGCGGACCUAAGGAGAUCCAAAAAUAACCCAGAAGAGGCUGAAGCAUCACCGGACCAAAUGCUAUUCUCUCAAGUAGGGAAAAGUAUAACGAAAACUCGACUCAAAGUGAAAAAAAUUUAAAGGAGGUGUCAGAGCACGUUUUUGAUCUAGUCGGAUCUGUAUGCUGUCAUUUAUACAGUUUCUUUAGACCAUCUUUUCGUAAAAUAUGAUAGAUUAAAUUAUAAGAAUGUAUGGUCGUGGCAAUAAAAAAUAUUACUUAAAUUAUACCUGUUUAUAUCAGACAUUGUGAGACCCAAGUCAAUAGAUAAAAUUCAAAUUGUCAGCCCCGUCCUUCAUAUACCGCGGUUUCACGUUAUCAAUCAAUGCAGAAUUAUAAUUGAUAAAGCUGGCAAGCAAUACUACGACCGCAUACUGAAUUACCGUUGUUCUCGAUGAAGUUUGCCUUAACAACUAAGGAAAUAGACGAAGAAAUGUCGAGAGUCGAUGGAGGCACCAUCAAAUUUCGCUGUUGGAUAGCAAUAUUGUCAUGGGUCCUUGGCAAUUGAAACUGACUGAAGAAAAUACUCAACUAACAAAAGUAACUCGGAAAAAGAAAUGAAAGAUGAAUAGCAUCUUGAUGUUAUUUCUCGGACAUUAAGGGUCCGUCUGUUUCGGAUGAAAAUGUUUUCCAGGAAAAUAUUUUCCUAAUUUCCCGUGUUUGGUUGCACAAAAGUUACUGAAAACAUUUUCCUAUGUAAAAUAUUUUCACCCAUUUUAUGGAAAACAACUUCCUUUCUAAACUUACUGAAGUUGUUUUCCGAAAUGCAUGCAUCCCGCCUGUAGUAUGUUCCAAACUUACUGAAAACAUCUUGUAGUAUGUUCUUUUUUUUUUUUUUAGUGUAAACAGGAGGAUUCGAACCCAAGACUUCUUCCUUACACUCCCUCCUCCAUACCACCCAACCCUCCCCCUAGUAUAUUCAAAAUAAAAAAAAAAACUUCAUCCUGCUCAUCCUAUGCUAGUAAUUAUGUAUAAUAGGGACAUUCUUUUCUAGAGAAACUUUCAGCAGUGAGAGUGCAAGAUAUAUGUCACAAUAAGCAUUGCAUGUGAUUGAUAUUUGACACUAAAUAGCCAGCAAUUUGUUUAUUGCUUAAGGAGAUAUUUUUUAUUCAUAUAUACAUUUCUCCAAGAUUUUUUAAAGUUAAACAAUGAGAUAAAUUUUCUUAUUUUGCAUGGGAAGAAGUAUGUAGUUAUAAUGUGUAGAAAGUAAGGAUAGAGAUAAAAGUGAAAAUAUUUCAAAAGUUAAACAAACACCAGAAAAAUGAAGUAAGAAAAUAUUUUCAAUAAGCUAACCAAACACCUGAAAAUGAUGAAAGGGAAAUGAUUUUCAUGGAAAAUUACUUCCACGGAAAGUAUUUUCCCAAGGAAAAUAUUUUACUUCCAACCAAACAGACCCUAAGUGUAAUUCAUAGUUUCCUGAGACGAGAGGCAUCGACAAAUCUCAUUAUUCCAUAGCGGAUGGAAUUCCAUUAUUUAAAAGGUUGAUGCAAAGAAGCAUUUUGUAGGUUUACAUAUGAAACUUCUAAAAAGAAUGAUUAAAACUAGAAGGUGGUAAACAAAAAAUUACCAACUAACUCGUAAAAAAUCUUGGUCGUGCCGUUUUACUUUGCUUUGUUCUUACUUCCCUUUUUUAGGCAUGAAAUUAAUUAUAUAGUACCUUAAAAUUUUGAAAGACGAGCCAAAACCAACCACCAUAGAGCCAACCCCCCAACCUCCAACCCACCACCAUCCCCAAAAAGGAAAAAUAAAAUGUUGUCGGACUCUUUCUUCUGGAGGUUACUCUUCCAACAUUAUUAUUCUCUUCAUCCAUAAGAUUCAAAAUCGAAAUCUUGAUUAAGGGGUAUCAAGCUCUUUAUUACUUGACCUAACAACUGUUAGUAAAUGUAAGUUUGCUCCAAUAUUACGAGAUCUUGAUCAGUAGAAACAAAUCCUGAACUCCUCUACUCAGCAAGAAACCAGUAGAGUCUGGAAAAUUUCCAUACUACUCGACUAACUAGUAAUUACGUACUUCUAGAUUUGGCCAAUAAACGAACUCCCCAGCCUGCUAGAUAUAUCUAAACCGGAGAGAAAUGUUUAACGAACAUGCUUUUUCUUCUACUACAAUUAAGCAGCGUAACUCCCUUCGCUACAAGCAAUAAAUCUAGCUACUUGAUUGGGCCGGAUUGCCAAUUGGCUUUCCUUUUCUUCUCCUCAGUUCCUUAUCCUUUUGGCAACCGAUCGAAUGUAUCAGCACUAGCUGGCAACAUUAUUCAUGCUCCUGUUUCAUUCGCUUCUAACUUGUGUCCCUGUAGACUGAAGUGCGAGUCAGGAUUUUCCCCAAGUAUUAAUGCCCUUGUUUUACAUGACUGGAUUAUCUUAUUUGCUACGCGAUUUCUACUUUUUGUUGACGCACUGGAUAAUGGCAGACUUAGUGUAUAAGCUUAUUGUGUCCUGUGGGUUGACAUCAAACCACACAUGGAUCGAUCUAACGUAUGAGUACCACAAAUGACUAAAAAAACUUUGGCGAUCGAGUUAGGCCGGCCACGCAAGAUACAAAAGAUUUCCCAUGAAUGAUGAUUUGCAAAACUGGGGACCAACAAGCUUAAGAAAUUGAAUAUUGUUGGCGAUCAUUACUUGUUUGGAUUACAUAUCACUUAAUUUAGUAGUCUAGUUGCAAAAGCAAGUCUUUUGUUUGUUAAUCAAGUGUCUCGACCACCUCAAAACUACACAAGCUGGAUGCCAAAUUCUUACGAGGAUCAUGUCUAAAGAAGACGUAUGCAUCAUGAGGUGAGCUGAUGUUAGAAUCUCUCAACUCGAUCUUAUAAAUACCUUUAGUUGAUCAAGUUAGCUCUAGCUAGUAGUGCCCAUGAUGAUUUAUGUUACCUAAUAUAUGACUUAACCAAAUUUGAUUGCUUAAAUGGCUUUCCUUUGCUUAUUAUACUACCUAAUCUCAACGCUCACACAGUAUUUAAAUGGAGUAGCGUGCAUGUGUUCUGCCUCAAAAGCGAAACCCGGAAUCCGUUUUCCUCUUAUUUUUUUCAAGAAAUUAUAGAAAAUCAUGUUACCAAUAAUUGAAAAGAAAACCACAUCAAAUCAACCCGUCUUAUUACCUCUAGAAACCGCAUAAAGCAUAAUAAUUUCCACAUUCCCGUGAAAAAACUUCUGUUCUUAGUCAAAUAAUUGGAAAUGCACUUAAGAAGAGACGAGAAAGGGGGAGAAAAUGUGAGCGAGAAUAAUUCAAGUCAAGGAUAUUUCUUUAUUAAUUUCACAACUCGUCAUUGUUACAUGUUGUAUAAUAAUUUACUGGGCUUUGGCUGUACAUCGAUGUUCAAGUACCACCUACUCAAGAAGGGCUAGGGAGAUUUUUUUUUUUUUUUUUUGUCAAAACGAUAACAAGCAAGAAGGACUAGGGAGAUGGUUUAUCAAGAUCAUUCAAUCCUUGGGUACAAAUUUGGAACGGGAACCCGUCAGCAUCAUGGAUUCUUGUAUGAGGUGAUGUUUUUGCUCCCAAAUAUAGACGCGACAGUACUGUUAAAUUCCCACGGAGUUAAAAUGUUAAAUCAAGAGAAUUAUUCAGGAGACCAUCCUACCAACAACAUAUAUUUUAAGUACAUAAUCUGUUCAAAAAGGACAAAAUAAAUAAUGGAAUAGGUGUAAUAUGGCCCAGGAUAUCAUUGGUGCAUAUCUUAAUAUAAUAUGAUGCAAAUUCUUCAUUAUUUCCUCGUUCAAGACUUCCACACAAUAUCUUUGCCAUGUUAAUCCACGACAACCCAUUGUGUACAACAAUGAUAAAAGCUAAUGUCUAAUAAUUCUAUCACGUUCGUGAAGUAUCCAAGAAGUGUGUUUGGGUGAUGCUUUCUGCAUACACCAUUUGCAAGAUUGUAGUAGUAUUAAUUAUUAUUAUUAGUUUUUGGGUUCUUGAAUGUCUAGAGGGCCAUCCAUCGAACUGGUAAUAUUUUUUUCUGCUAAGAGUUUUAUAAGGAACCUGGAAAAGAAAAGGUAAACCAACUAAAUAAAACAGCCCGUUGUUUAAUCACUUUUUAGGCUAGAUUUCAAAUCAAGUUUUUUAGUUGAAUAAACCCAAGGCUGGUAGAGAGACAAAUCUAGAAGUAAAUCCGUGGCAAGUAGUUUCCAGAUCAGUAGAUAUUACCUCAAGAGCAGGCAAAGUUUGAUGCAUUAAGUCCACGGAUUAUGUCACAUUAUGGAUUGGCAGACGAUGUCUAGAAAUCUCUAUAAUGGCAGUAUUUAUGGACAUGAAAAUUCUUCCUCUAAAGACAUUGCAUUGGAGUAUAAUAUGUCAUAUGACUCUUAGUUAUCGUAUGCAGUUAAUUAACUUAACCACCAUUAGUAAUCCAGUCCGGUUCAUGAAGUCAGGCACCAAAACUCCACAAGCAUUUAUGAGAAUAUAUAUAUAUAUUUCAAAAAGUAAAAAAGUGACUAAACAGAUGUUCCUAAUUAAAACCAAAUGGUCCUAAAACAAUUCCCUAUAUUGAUUUCUCACCACUCAGGAGUACGUACUAACCAAUAUUGAUUUCUGAUAGAAUGGUAAUUGUUUGUGGUUAGGAUUAUCAAAAAUCUCUAUUUGGUAGCUGCAGCUUGGAAAUCACGACGGGGCUUUUAGCUUUAGGAAGACAAAGAACUGUGUUUGUACUUUAGUCGUGACUCAUGAGGCACCAACAAAGUCAAAAAUCAAGUAUUAGUUGUACUACCUUUUCUUGUGUCGAAAUACAUUUUACUCAAUUCUUUCCCUGAGAUUGACAUGGGUGAUUCUGCAAUAUGUUCUUCAGCAACCCCAUGAAGUCGUGGGCUUCAAUGGCUCAGGACGGUCCAUACAAAAAUUGCAUUGCGGUAAAUAUCCGUCCAUGUACGAGCUUCGGAAAAAUGGUUUCUUAUAAGAUCUCUUGAUAUAUGGUCGAAAUCUUGAUGAUAUUAAAAGGUUUUCUUGAGCAAUGAUAACGUAACAGUCCAAACGCUGUUAUUGAUGAUGAUAUCUCAAAAACUAGCUUCAACAACCAAACGCAGGAAGCCAGGAGAGGGAUCAGAUUUCUGAACCACAAUAUAGUUAAGGAUCCGGGGAAAGCAAUGGUGGAAACCCUGUUUUACUAACUAACGUAUUUGGUCUCCAACUCUGAGAAUAUCUUGUGUUUGCACAUGUUCAUGCAGUUAAAUUCUCUACUAAGUAAAAGAUUUUCUAAGCAAUCAGCUGAUUAAGUAAAAGAUUUUCCAAGCAAUCAGGUGAAAUAACUAAUCCAGUAAGCAUUCAUGUCAAAUCCCACACAAACCUAACAUCAUUACACGUGAUUCAUUUGACAAAUUGAUCCACAUUUGAGGAGGUUAUACUGUGACCAAUUGCUAAGUCAAUAAUGAAUUUAUGAAUCUGAUGGACCAGUAAAAUUAUUGUUUUCUUGAAAAUUAAGAACACACACACACUGGUAAUAGACAGGCAUUAAAGCAAUCCUUGAAUGAAUUAUCUGCUCAUUUAGUUGCAAAAGCAAGUGGAGCUAAACAUGUGAAAGAAAAAUAUCCAGAAUAAUUCAAGAAUGGUAGACUUUAGAUAUGAAAAAUGUAAGGUGACCAUGUACUAAAAUAAUCUGCAGCAGAAGAAGAGCAUGCACCAUGAGGGUAUUUGAUAUUAGAAAUUCAACUUGAUCGAUCUUAGUUCCCCUUUUCUUCCGAAAUUGACUCCACUACGCAUGAAUGGUCUCUGUCUCCUAAUAUAUUAGCUCAACCCAAAUUUGAUUGCUUAAACCACCUAAUCUCAACCUCCACACUUUAUUUUAAUGAUGGAAAUGUUAUUAAUAUUAAUAAUCCAAAACAAGAUCAAUUCAACCGGUCUCAUCAUUCUACUUAUCUCCAGAAACCGAAUAGACGACCAUCUUUCCCCCCCCCCUUUUUUUUUAAAUAGGGAUGCCAUCCCUUAAUUUAUUUAUAAUCGAAAAGAGUACAUCGAAUUAGAGGAGGGCCAAACCUGACCUCUGUUAAGUAAAAAGAGACAACUAAGGAUGAACAAUAAUACGCACAUAUGGAAAAAUCUGCGUACCUAAACACAUAACAGAUGAAGCGAACGAAAUCAUCCACAUGAGGGUGCCCCACAUUUGUGGGAUUGUGAGUGAGCAUGGGAAUUUGGUUUAACAUCUUGACAUACGUGAGCAUGCCAUCUUUCCUAUUUGACAUUUCUCUCGCCUGAUAAAAAUGAAAUAACUUCUGUUCAAAGACAAAUUAACGUUAUGCAGUAUGUAGAAGAGAUGAGAAAAUGGGAUCAAAACUGAAUCUCCCAAAUUGAAGACAAGAAUAUUUCUUUCUUACCCAAGUUGUCUAAUUAUCUUUGUUAUGUUUUGUCGCACAAUAUAGUCAAGAUAGAUCAAGAAUUCGCCAUUAUGGACAUGUUCAACAGUUCAAGUGCUCGUCAAGAAGGCAUGGAGUUACAAAAUUUAAGCCAAAAUCGUCACUAUGAUACGGAAUCUUCUAUGAGGUGAUGAAUUUGUUGCAUUGGGUUGAGAUGUUAAAUCACGAGAAUUAUUAGGACACUCUACCAUUCUUUUAGACAACAUUAAAUGUUGUAACUAGUCAGUUCAAGAAAGGCCAGAAAAGGAAAACUAAAAUCAGAUUUGUUCAAAAAAUUAACCUUAAUACUGUGUCAAUAUACAUAGACUCUAUUCCACAAAAUGCAUAUUGUAUUAAUGAUCAUUAGCAAUAACCUAUGUUAUCCGGAGUCAGGCACUAAAGUCCCGCCAGCCAACAUAGCCACUCUAAUGCAAAAACAUGGGUAUGGCAAGGCAAGGUGAAGAGUCCGAGUAACAUAUAUAGGCAAUGACAAAGAUUAAUGUUUCACACUUCCAAUUUCGUGAAGCGUCCUAACCUUCCAUUAUCAACCGACCGGGAAGUGUACUGUGAUGAUGAUUUUAUUUUUUCUGAUCACUUGAUUUGCAAAAUUUCCAUCAAGUUGUCUUUUCCUUUUGAAAAUUUAGAGGGGAGGAAAUCUUCUUAUUUGCUAUGCCAAGAGUUUUACAAGGAACCAUGACAAGAAAAAGUAAAUAAAUUAAACAAAAAGCAUCAACUCCUUUUAAUUACUUUUAGGUGACAUUUCAACUCACGUUUAUGGUUGAAGAUACGCAAAUUAAGUUGGUGGAUAUACAAAUCUGGAAACCAUGCCAUGCACACGUCCCCACCGAAAGAAAGUAAACCAUAUAUCUCCAGAUUAGUACAUUACCUCAACAACAUGCAAACUACUAAUUUCUUGAAAAGCGAAAGAGGCCUAUCCCAAAAAAGGGAAAGAAACAAGAGGGCCCUCCCUUGUUUUUUUUGAAGAAAAUACUACCCUCAGCAAUAUGUUCGAAAAGGAUCAAGAAAAUAAAAUAUAGAAACUAAAAGUUAAUGUGAUUCUAGCACAUAAUGCAAUGCUGGUGGCAAACUUUAUUUGAAGAGACACAUACGUGAGUAAAAAUAUCAAAAAAAUGAGAAAAAAAAAACUUCAUUGAAACAGGUAAUCCGGCCCAGCAUGUCUGAAUUUAAUAUGGUGAAAAUUCUUCCAUUCAAUGCCCAAGAUUUCCACAGAAUUUUGUUGAUGACAAUUAGCUGUAUACCGUUUAUAUACUAGAUCAGUGCCUCGUACGUAUUUCUAUCAAGUUCGUGAAGUAUUCGAGCUUUCCCUCUCUGUAGUUACUUUUAGCUCAAGUUGAUGACUUUAUGGUUGAAGAAACGCGAAACUGGUAGAAGACACAAGUUUAUCUAGGUAGCUUCACAAACAUGUGGCCAAGAAACUGAUCGGUGCAGGCCAAUUGAUAGGCUACCUCAAAACCAUGUGCAAACUUUUGAUGCAUCAAGUCCACGAAGAAUUAUCUUGACAGGAAUUGCCCCGUACUAACAGACACUAUCCAGAAAUCUCGAUUUGGCCGAAUUUGUAACCACACACAGAAGCUUAUCUUUCUUCCAGAGUUAUUCUUGGAUGUGCAACAUGACUGAUUCUUUGUGUAGUCACGUAUCAAGACUCCAGAAGCAGCCAUCCAAUAACACUGCAUUCACUCAUGAACAUUUUCUUGCUUAGCCUCUUUUUAUCUAACCAAUAUUUAUACAGAUGUAUAAUAUUUACGAGUUCAAAAUUUUAAGGCCUUGGAUUCAAACCCUUUUUCCCUUCCCUUCUCGACACCCUCUUCUACUAUAAUUUUUUGUUUGAAAAAAUAGAUGUAUAAUAAUAGAGUGUUUGUGAGAGUACCCAAGCUUCAAUUUAGAGAUCGAAAAAAAAUUUCCCUUAGUUAGGCUUUACGUUUUGAAUCAGUAAAUCAGUGCUCAACUCUAUGAUCAUUGAUGAGUUGUAGCAAAUUUGAAACUACUAUGCUCAAUUAUUUAUAUAGAGUUGUAGUAACAAGGAUUAAAAGAGGAAUCAAAGUAGAUAAUUAAAGUUUGAAAAGUUGUUUUGCCCGAGACUUAGCUUGGCAGGUGGGAACAUUAGUAAGUGAUCCUAAGAUAUUUUAUUCAAUUCUCAAUCCUCUUUUCCCUUCACCUUGUAAGGCUCCCCUUGUAAAGCUUGCUCUCCACUUUUCCCCUUCCUCUUUGUCCCCUUAGCAGCAAUGUAGCUAGCACCACAAUUUGACAAAGCAUCUUCUGAUCUCUCUUGUUUAUACAACUUGACCCGUUAUCCUUUUCCAAACAAGACCUGUGGUAUAAAGAAAACACAUGAAUUGGAGUCCAUGGUGGAGUUUGGAUUGCAUUUUUAUGAAGCGUUUUUAAAAGAACAAAAUUUUAAAAAAAGGAGGAAUAUUUUCUGAAACAAAGUAGAUAACAGCAUCUUUGGUAUAGCCUUUUUUGAUACCUCUUGUUUCUACAACUUGACCCCUUAAGAAGAGCUUUUAAAACGAAAAAAAAUAAAGAAUAAAAAAUAUUUUCUGAAAAAAAAAAGUAGAUGCCAGCAAAUUUGGAAACUUUUCCGAAGUUUAUUAAAAGUAAGUGCACGUCGGCCAGAGCCCGGAUUGGGUAUUAUCAUAUUAUCGCGUCCAAAUGCAUAUAGCCAAUCUUGAAGUAUAAGUUGAAAUUAUUCUAGCACACAAACGAAUCACAAGAUGUACAUCAAUAAAACCUUGAAAACGUACGGAUGAAUGUUCUAAUAUAAUAUUUUGAGGGACGCAUAGACGUCUAUACUUAACUAUUUAUUAAUUUCAUAACACCUCUCAUUGGAUCGAUGUCUAUUAGACAAAGAAAUUGCACUAUUAAAAUCUUAGUAUGAAAAAACUCAGCUGGAUUCAAAAAAAAGAAAAAAGAAAAAAAACUCUAGUGGAUGAAAAAAUAACACAUAUUCUUUAUGUGUCAAUAUUGCAACUAUGGUUUGAAAUCUUUAAACCGAAACAUUCUAAUUUUUUUCACCAAUUUUUCAAAUAUCGCAGUUAUCAAUGCCUUGAUAAAUAAAUAUGUCAAAUUUGAGUCUCAAAUUUGUUUCUCAUCAUUAGAUUUUUGGAGGUGCUCAAACUGUGAUGUGUGCUUUAAUGAAAUUAGGAAUUUGGGACCAAAACAACUUGAUGGUGGAGAAUUAUUGUUUUGUGGCAAAGACAUACUGGAGUUGUAUUGUGUGUGAUAUGUCCAAUUUGAAGGUUGUCAGUGUGUGAUCAGUUGACAGUGAAUUGAGACUCGCAGCCACCGGAAAUUCACAUAGGCGGUACAAAACAAAAUGAUCUUCAUAACUCAGAUAAUGAUCUUUCUAGCCAGAUCAUCAGAAUAUUAGAAUUUGAACUCUCAACGCCCACCACACUGUUUUGACAGCAGUAGCAUGCAUGCAUUGUACUGUUCUGAUAACAGCGGUAGGAGCAUGCAUGCAUGCAAUCUGGCUCCGCCGGAAAAGCGAAAGAGGCCUAUCCCGAUUCCCGAAGGAAGGGCAGAAAGAAAGAAAGAAAAGCUGUUUUAAGAAAAUAUUACUAGUAUAAUUAGCAAUAAUCGAAAAAUGGCAUUAGUAAAAUAUGUUCGAAAAAGAUCAAGAAAAUAAGACAUAGUAUUCCAAGAUGCAAUGCUGGUGGGCAACUUUGCUUGAAGAGGUGCUCGCGCAAAUUAAAAAGAAGAAGAAGAGGACGAAGACUUUAUUUAAAGAGGUAAUAGCGUACGGCCCAUUCAAUAUCUGGAUUUAAUAUGGUGAAAAUUCUUCCAUUCAAUGCUCAAGAUUUCCACAGAAUGUUAUUGAUGACAACUAAUUGUAUACCUCGUGUUUGUAACUUUGUAUCAAGUUCGUGAAGUAUUCCAAAUAUCCCCCCUCAACAGUUACUUUUAGCUGGAGUUCAUGGAUGACAAAAAAAAAAAAAAAAAAAAAAAAGCAAAGCUGGUAAACGACACAAUUUUAGCUAGCUUCUCAAACAUGUGGCCAAGAAAAGAACUAAUCGGGUGUUGUUCAAUUAGUACGUAGAUUACCUCAAAACCAUGCAAACUUUUGAUUCAUUAAGUCCACGGAUUUGUCCCGUAUUAGCAGACACUAUCCAGAAAUCUCGAUUUUUCCGAAUUUCUCAUCAUAACAAAAUUUUUCUGUCAUCCAGAGAUAAUUUUUCUUAGUAACUAAAGUUAGAUUAUGCGACUGAAACUACUGUUGGAGAGAAACGCUCGCUCGAGCAGUAUUAACUUUGGAGACAUUUUCCUUAUAAUUGUUCUAAUGUUUUUCCAUAUCGAUCGGUUGUUGCAGCAGCAAGUUGAAGCUUGGAAACUAAAACGGGGCCACUAGCUAGAUGACUCCAGAAAACAAGCUAAUAUAUAUAAUGGUUAGCCAUGAAUCUUGUGACACCAUAAAGUCAAAAACCAUGGACUGGUAUUACUGGUUUUUCUUUUCUGGAAACCAUAUCUUUCGCUGGAGAAUAAGCUGUCCUUCAACAGCAAGCUCCCCCGGGGGUUGGUGUGGCUGGUUUUAUCAUAUAUACGGUUUGUUUAUUGUGCAUUCAGCUCUAAUUUGAAGUCAUGGACUUGAAGUUGAUGAAGAAGCAGGAAAUGGGUAAACGUUGUUAUUGCAAUACAGCAUCCAUCCAUUGAUGAAUAUUUGAGCAAUAAGAGAAAGCGCACUUUUUAUUUUGCCAAAAUAAAUAAAGAAAAUAUUCAAUUAAAACUGCAAAUACCGUACUGAAUAUAUAUGUUGAAAAAACCGAAGCAAAUAAAAUUUUCACUUCUUUAGCACGUGAUUUAUUUUCACAUAAGUCAAAUGAGUUGGCACACCUUAAUUGAAUAUUAGCAACGGAAAGGAUUUAUUUUGCAUUUCCUUACAAAGAAGGUUCUGAAUUAGAGAUGGCAAAUGGGCGAGAUGGGUGGGACUACAAAAUAUAGGCUAUACCAUAUUAGUCAUGUGACCAAUAUGGAUGCGACAAAACGAGCUAAACCCAUUUUAAUACCCGCUCAAAUAUCCAAUAAAUUCUAUUUUAUUUUUUCAACUCUUUUUUUCCUAAUCAAAUGUCUCAAUAUUACCUUUUGUUUUUUUCUAAUAUCAUUUAGCUAGUUUGUUUAACUCUGUGAAACUGUCCACCAUCAAAAUCAUGCGUUCUCCUAAAAUGUUUAAUGAUUCAGUUUUGUACCUGUUCAAAUUUCUACUUCCCAUGACUAAACACUGCCCAUGUUUCCUCCAACAGAUGAUCUUAUAUACAUAUUUGUACAGUCCAUGUCAGAAUGAAGGUGAUCAGCUUUGAUUCUUUGCAUCGUGGAAAAACCGUGAAACAAAAUCUAUGCUAUAUUUUUCUUUCUAAAUUAAGUUUUCAAGGACUAAAUUUCAUGAGAUUUGAAAGUAAACUUACUUUCUGAAGUUCAAUUUGGAUAUAGCAAACUUUGCUAAUCAAAUGUUUUAAUAUUUAUUGUUGGGUGGUUUUUGAUUUUUAGAAAAAUCAAUAAUGUUCUUAAACUUUGGGGGAAAGAAAGAUCCAUGAUGGAAGUUGUAAAUAAGUCCUAGUUAAACCCAUAUUUCAAAUGGAUAUUAUUAGGUAUAUUUCUAGUUUAACCAAGUCCCAUAUUUUAUACACCUGUCCCACCCAAAUUAAAUUUGGGUAGGGGAGUCCAUUGGGUCUUGGGACUUUUUCCCACCUAUAUUCCAAACCAAUCUUUUUUUUUUCUUUUGACUGAAACUCUACACGGAAAAAAGAAAAAAAAAUGGAAAAAAAAAGGGGUCGGGUGGGUCGGUAUGAGAUAAGUUAAGAAGGUAUACAUCAUGCACAUUCAUGUAGUUUUCAGAUAGUUAGAAAGUCCCUCGACAAUCCCCCCCCAAAACCUACAUCCAAAACCUACUUUCUCGCACUCCAUUGACCCUUUUUUUUUUUGAUCAUUCUCUUUCAAUUCGACCUACUACGGAGAUUUGAUUGUGACGAAUAAACAAAUUGCACCUACAUAUGCAAGCGGUAGCUUGGUUAGGGCCAGAAAAAUCUUUUGCUUGAUCUAAUUCUCUACGUACUGCCAGAGUUUUGUAGACCGAACUUCAAUGAGAGAUCAAAAAGAAUUUCCAGCUCUAUGACGAGUGAUGAGUUGCAGCAAAUUUGCAAAAUAGUACCAUGUUCAAUUAUUUAGGGAGAGGACGUUUGGGAACUUUCCCAAAGAAUUUUUGUCAUAGAAGUGCACGUCAGAGACAGAGCCUAAGUUUUUUUUUUUUUUUUUUGUAAUAAAAGGGACUAUAUAUUGAAUAAACUUAAGUAAUAGGUACAAAACGAGAGAAACAAAUUCCCUUAAGAUCUUAAAUUUCUCAAAGCAUAAGAAAUACUAUCAUAACAUACAAAAUUCACGUCUUGUUAAGUACCCAGUUUCGUCAAUUUGUUAGCACACUGAUUUGCUUCUCGAUAAGCAUGUCUCAGUUAGGUGUUAGUAGAGGGUGAAAACCGCGCUGGCAGACGAGGAUAAGAAUAUUACUAACAAAUUACAGCUCACAAAAUAGGCCCCUACAACAUUGAAACUUCAGGAAUACCAUAAAUUUGCAUUUCUUGCUUACAAAAUGUUCAUAAUUUAGUCUAAAAUCUUGGAGUUCUGUGUGAGCAUUUUCCAAGUGGCGCACAAAAAAGAAAAGAAUUUUCUCCAGUCCAUAUAUACAUAGAACGACAUUCUAAAUAGCGCAAUAGGUACCUUUGAAAGCCACAAAACCUGUUCACCACAUUUCUGGCUACCAAUUUUCAGACCAAGAUAUUCACAGUAACGUUUUUGGGCAAAAAGGGAAUAAAUAAACUGCUAUAUGAAAGAAUACGUGCCGCAAGUGCCAAGAAUCAUGCGACGGCAGAAAAUACACUAUAGGAAUCGUAUCAUCAUCAACUAUAUAUUUGCGGUUUUCUACCUAUUAGCUUCUGUCAUUGUUCCUCAGCUGACACCUAGAACUCGGAAUGAUUAGAAGCAGUGAAAAUUCCCAUCAUCUUAUUCUUUCUGACCAUAACAGAGAUAAAUACCAAAAUAAAGGCCAACAGCUCGUACAAAAACAAAUUAUACAUGAAAAAGCCAUGGCUUUAUGGGUAUGACUUGGCUACGAAAGCACACAUAAUUUGAUGGCUCAACAAAGCUCUCGUCAAACUCCUAGCCGAGGGUGUUACAUUCCAUACAACAAAGUUUGUGUACCUGCCAAACAGCAGUUGUCAAUUAGAGCAAACGAGGACGGGUUUACAACCCAUGCGUUCAAAUUUUCAUCAGAAAACUGAAAAAACAAGCACCUGACGUUCAUGAAUUUACAACAAUAUCCAACAUCUUCUUUCAUAGCCAUGAUUCUUAGUUGAUCACUCGAAAUUAGACUCGACAACCAUAGAAGAACCAGGCAAGAGAUCAGAACCACUAUAUGAUGCUUCUUCAGGGAAAGUUUCUCUGCCUUAUUUAAAAGGCAUUAGAAAGGUUUGAUGCUCAACAUCAGAAAAACUAGCUCCAUCGGUUUCCUAAAUUUUGAAUUUGCCCAUUAAUGUUUCAAUUCAACGUCUCCAUUUGUAGUUUGUACUAUGUAAAGAGGAGGGCAAUAGACGUAACAAAGUGAAAUGAAUUAAAUAAGAAGAAUGCAUAGAAUGACAGCUUAAACAUGCAAGUGAUUUGAACUACGACCAUGAACUGACAGUACCAAAGACUUUGUAUGCCAAAUGAAACUUGAAAGAAGAAUAUGAGCGGACAAUUUUGAAACUAUGAUAAACCAUCUGCCAGGUAUGUCUAUCCAGUUGCAACUAGGAGACUGAUGAGCAUGGGCAAUAUAUACAGCAAAUAGAAGGAUCAAGCAAACAAGAUGUUCCCCGAAGAAACUGCAAAAAGAACGCCUCCAUAAAGAACUAUUCUAUAUAUAUAUAGAGGCCUAAGAGCUUCAACAGAAAUUGCUUUACUAGAACGCAGAAAUCUGUAUUUAGAAUUAAAUGCAUUGAACUAUGUGAAAAGAGUCAAAUGCAUAUAUCAAUAACCAUUAACCAUUUUUUCUAAAUAAGUGUACGUGGGAGGGCUGAACCUGGGACCUCUCACUUACCAAUAGCUUUAAUGAAGUACAAGACUGCGGUUAUGAGAAAAAAUAACUAAGAACAUAUGCACAUGAUUUAGCUGGAGUAAAAUGACAUUCAGCAGACAAAACAUCAAAUACUAAUAUUGUCAUCCAAGUUAGGAAGUAUACCUCUUGCCUGGUAAAUUACACCUUGUACUCAUGGACCCGCAUCCACUUUGUUGAUGACCACUUAUUCCCUCUAAUAACAGGGCAACCGCCUACAGAAGCACAAUAGAAGAACGAUGUUAAGAAUGGCAAUCAUUCAAUGUAGUACAAGGAGAAGGAGAAAAAGAAAAAAGACGAGCACUUGAAAACCAGUUGAGUUCUACUGCAGUGAGAACUACAGUUUCAAUACAUACUGGAAUAACCUCCGAAACUGAUCUGUCCCAUGAUUAGAUAUCAAAUGUACUUGGUACACAAGGGACCCAAAAAAAAAAAAAGAUGAAAAAAAAAGACCACCAUAACUUGAAGGAUCAAAAAAAGUUACCGUGCAAACUUGAAGGAUCAAGAGUGGCAUCAGGCUUCAUGCUCCAAAACAGCAAAGCAUCACCCCUCUUUGGUUUAACAGAAAGCCCUCCUUUUCCACAUUCAGACAGCUCAUUCCACCAAGGUACAGCACUAAUAUUUCCUUUGGCUGCAGGAAAAACUGUUUCUCCGCCCUCUUCAAUAUCUGACCUGCUCAUAAUUAUGUGAGGAGAGGAAACUAGACUAUUAGACUAAGAUACACAAACAUACACUACAUACAAAACCACAAGAAGAAAGAUAACUUACAAAUACAUAAGAACUGUAGCUAUGCGUUGGCCCCCAUUCCUGGUGUUGAACUCAUCAAGAAAGUAAUCAUAAUGAGGCUCAUACUUUUGACCCACCUCAUAGUGCAGAAUUUGAAGUCCCUCCCCAUGCUCUGUACAUUCCAGGAUUGACUCAUAAAUAUUUUAAGGUGGGAUAGAUAUAUGAAAGGUCAUCCAAACUAAUCGUAAAAAGGAGGAAAAGUUCAAUACUGUCAACAAAAAUCAGCUUGAAAGUAGUGAAUUAGCAUGAAACCAGAAUCAAACAAAUGCUCUCCCUUAUCAUGAAAUAAGUUCCUGGAAAACUUUAUUAUUAGCUUAGAAAAUGAGAAAUUUGGCACCAAUAGACACUGAAGGAGUCAAGGAAAUAAAGCAUAUAAGAUAGAGAUUCAAACACUGUAAGAGCAAUAGCUAUUCAAUGGCAGCAAAGAGAUGGUGAGGCAGAAAAGGUAGUGCCACAAACAACAAACACAGUAACGAGGAGAGUUCAUAAUGCUGAGAAACAAGAGCCAUGAGGCAAAAUCGUAAGGAAGCUCAACAUCACCAAGACUAAAUGCCAAGAAAAAUACCAGCAGUCAUCAAAAUUUCCUAGACAACGUAACAACCACUAAAUGCCACAAAAGAUGGGCCCAAAAACCAGACAGGUCAGAGUAAAAAAAUUACAUGGUUGACAUCCUUAGUCUUCCUGCCAAAAGAUUAUAGUGAAAAAGUCCUGAAGGAAAACACUUGGUAACACUACUAAUGAUUAUUCCCUAUCUGUUGCUAAAACACAUGCAUUCUUAUAGGCAAAAGACAUAAUAACGUAUCUUCAAACAUACCUACGGGUAUGAAGGCAAAAUCUGCAAUUCUUUUCUCAAUUUCCCUGACCGUUUUAUCACGUCCUCUAGCAAGAAAUGUUCCGGAGCUUGUACGAACUCUGCAUGCAAAAGAAAUCACAGAAGAUUUCAAUUAAAAGAUGACAGACAGAAUGAAUGGCCAAAGUUUUCGUCUUUUUAAGCAAAAUUUACAUUUUGGUGGCAGAAAAGAAUAACGAGUACAAACCUACUAUCUUUACUUUUGCCAGUAGCACUAUCCACAACUGUUGACUUUUGCAUAUGUGGCUUGGCAAGAUUGAUCAGAUAUUCACACUCUUCUAUAGACUGCACAAGCCAAGAGGAGGGGAAAAAAAUCGAAAUAAGUAACUUCGAACCGAUCUUCUCUCUUUUCCAGAAAAAAUAAAAAUCAUACAAAGGCUUCAAGCAAAUCAAUAUCUUAAGGAAGAUAAUAGAAUUUCUAGUGAAAUGGCAAAAAAGAUUAAAGUAAGCCUGAUAUGACACACAUCGCACAUCAUGUUUCCUAAUGAAACUUGAAUACAUACAUCUUCCUCACUUAUAAACAUACAGCACAAAAUUGCCUACAAAGUCAAGCAACAAUCAUUUCAGGAUUUAUAGGAUCACAUAUAUGUACCUUCAAAUCCUAAUCCUGGCAACUAAUCUACUAGGCAGCUAGCAAUGCCAAGGCACAUCUCAGUUAAAGCAACCCUCAGUUAUGAACUUAAUUACACGCAAAUUCAGAGAAAACAUUUGUAAAUUCAGCCACAUAAAUCAACUAGCACAGAAGAUCUAAACGAAUUCAAUGAAACCAAUUAAACUGGCAGAUACAUAACAAAUUUUUAUCGACUUCUUCAAAUGAAUUUCAUUUCCAAUCAAAUUACAUUCUCACGACUCCUGCAAAUCAACAUCUAUAACCACCAAAUAUACUGAUUUUUCUCCAGCCUUACUAUUGGGCCUCUUCCCUAAUCAGUUCUUCAACCAUUCGCCACGGAUAUGCAUACAAAAACAUGCAGACUAAUUCACUAAUAACAAAUAAAAAUACCAUAUGACCCAACCAGAGAGGGGGGGAAGAAAGUUUACCAAGAAAUUGUGGUAAACAACUGCUCUAGGUUCCCAAGAGAUAACUUCAACCCACUGAUCUCCCCUCCCCUCAUCAUCAUCUUCAUCACCUCUGCACCAAAAAAACAAAAAGCAAAAAUCAAACUCCAGAUCGCAAAAAGUUCAAACAGGAAAACAAGAAAGCAAUUUAACAAUUCAAACACCCGUGAUUUCAUUUCAAUGUAUCGUUACCUAUCAAUACUGUUAUGGGCAAUUGUGCUGAGAUCGUGCGCUUUCUGAGAAUCUCUAGAAGUGCUGGGAAUGGAGAGUAAUCCGAGGGAUAACAUAAUCAACAACAAAAAGGAGAACAUGAUAAACAUAGCGAAAAUCAAUGUGGAAGACGACGUCGCUUUCCGCGACGGACCCCUCAGGUGGCGCCCCUUCACCGCCAUUGCAAAUUUCACUUUCGGAGAUCUUCGGGGGAUGAAUUUAGGAAUCGACCAACAAGUCUCGUUCAAUUUUGUUGUGUAAUCUGGGAAUUUUUCAGUUGAAAUUGGAGAUAGUACGCCAAGAGAGAAGUUAGGCUUUUAAUUAAUGAAUAAUUAAAGACUAGUACUCAUACACAAAGCAGUAGCAGCUGAAAAUAUGGCCAUACACCGCCACUCCAGCACACAUUCUCCUCCUUUUCUAAAUACGUUAUGUAUUCAUUCUUGCACUUCAACUUUAUACUUGAUACGGAGUACUAGAGUUGAAAUAUAUAUUUUGUCUUGUAAUUUAUAUAUGAUAUUGGCAACCCAUAUUGUUGUUGUUUUUUUGUUGGGAAAAUGACAUGUUUCGUCCCUUACAUUUUGCAAAAAUAUUUUUUUCAUCCCUUACUUUUAAAAUGAAGCAAAUUCAUCCCUGACAUUUAAAAAUUAAAGCUAUUACAUCCCUGAACCUAAUUUUCAAUCUGAAUCAAAUCAUCCAAUAACCCAGUAAUAAAUUUCGAAAAUAGAAUUGAUAGAUCAUUCGGUUAACUUCAUCAUAUUCACAUGACAUUUAUUAAACCAAAAAAAUAAAAAUUAUAACAUAAAAGACCAUUAUUUGUCUUGGAAUAGUAGAGUUUUUUUUUUUGUAAAUCUUUUCAUGCACCGUUAGUAUAUCCGCUUGCGAAUCUAAAUGUGUAUCAUAAAUAUAAAAUUUGGUGUUUAAAUUUAAAUUAAAAUGAUAUGGUGGUACAUAAAACUGUCAGUGUAUACAAUGAUAAUAUAGGAAAGAUUAAUCUUUCUUUUUUAUGUUAUAAUUUUUUAUUUUUUAUUUUUAGGUUCAUUAAUUUUCACAUGAAUAUCAAGUUGAGUUAACCAAGUGAUCUACUAAUUACACCCCCGAAAUUUGUAAUCAGGUUGAUUGGUGGUUUGAUUCAGAUUGAAAUUUGGGUUCAGGGAUGUAAUAAUUUCAGUUUUUAAAUGUCAAGGACGAAAUUGGUUCAUUUUAAAAGUGAGGGACGAGAAGAAUAUUUUUGUGAAAUGUGAAAGAUGAAACCGAUCAUUUUUCCUUUUUUGUUUUACAUUUUUCCCCUCUUAAAAAUAUAAAUUAUGAUUCUAAAACAAAGCUGGGGAUUGACCAAAAUAAAAAUUCAUACUAGUUGCUUUAAUUUGAUGGCAACAAGUCAAAUUAUUGUUUGAAACUUUGAAUAGCAAAAGCGCUAGUUUUGAUUAAGUUAGCACAUUGGUUUCUUGAAAUAAUUAUUUCCAAAUAAAGAAAAAAGGUCUUUGCGCAAAAAAAAAAAAACUUUAUAUUAUAUGUUAACCAAUAUCUAUCUAAUAGAUACUCAAUAAAAAAAUUUUUUAAAAAAAGUGUAAUGCACGUUCACCCAUGACCAUGAGUUGGGGUCAACUCCCCCGUCCGAUGCAUAUUGACAUUUUCUUCGAAGAUGCGUUGAGAUUGUUAUGUGUUAAAAAAAAAAAAAAAUUAAGGACCGGCCACUGGCAUUAGUUGGCAAAAGUGUCGAAUAAAAUUACCAAUAGCCAAUGCAUCCCUUCAAGUUUUAUGGAGGAGGGCAUGCAACCGUUCCUGAAGAUUUAUGGCUAAGAUUUGAUCCAAAAAACAUAUAAGACUCAAAUUGCAUAUUGUACGUCAUUUUUCACGUUAUAUAUAAAAUUUAUAAAAUUUUAUUUUAUAAUUAUAUAUUAUUAAAAAUAAAUUAUACUGUAUACAUACAAAACAUAAUUUGUACAUUUUACACAAAAUCAUUCCGAAUAAUUUUCUGACAAAAUGUUCCGGUCCCUUGUCCAAGUUCUACCGACAAAAACCCGAGUGAAGGAGGCACAUGGGUUGGGUGUGUUUUGGAGCUGGCGCUCAUAAUUCUGACUAGUGCAGUUGCACUUGGGUUAAGUUCAUUACACAAACGUUUUGACUCUACACUUGCUGAAACGCAGAUAGCGUUGAAUUGCGGAUAAAUAAAGUUGGUAGUUUUGGUACAAAACCGGCUUUAUCAUUUUUAUUGAUGAACAUUGGAAUUUGGAAGGAAAUCCUUCUUGGGAAAAUGCCCCGUUUGGAUUGCUUUUAUCUGGAUUUUUUUUUUUGUAGAAAAAUUACUGUAUCGAUUUGAUACAUAUGAAGUAAAAAGGUGAUAGAAAAAUAUGUUCACGAAAAAUAUAAUAAUUUUUUUGAGAAAAAAUCGCAAUCCACUUUCCAUCAUCAUAGACUAUGAACAGUGGGUCUAUACAAGUAUCCAUUGUCCACGGCCACGCAGGGAAAACACGGCAUUUCAUUUAUCUAUUGAUACUUGUGUAUAAUUUUAACAGGUUCGUUUGACAUUUCUCACACGCCUACAGCUUUUUCAUUUAUGAUAAGAGGCAGUUGAGAGGCGGUCAAUUAGAAUAUCUAACAAUUUCACAAUCAGAUCGGUAGACAACAAAGCACUAUUCAAUGAUCAAUGGAAAAACCUGGAGGCAAAACUCGAGUACUUGAAGAGCCUUCUGAAAGCUAGUAGUUCUCGAAGAGAAACCAGGAUGGCUAUCACAUACAUAAUUCUUAUAUAAAAAGCAGUGAAAUCAAAGCCAGCAGAUAAGGGCUUGGAUGCAUAUCAGAGCACUUUUCACUUUUAAAUUGAUCGUGUAGUACAGCACCUACAUUCCUAAAAGAUUCCCAAAUUUCUAGUAGCUGGAGGAGGAGCUGACAUGUAACAACAAAAUUGCGGGAUAUGGGUUGAUGCUCUUCGUUUGGGCGUAUCCAUGGACUCGAUGACUGGCUGGUUCAGAUAUGCAUAUUUGCUCUUUGUCCACCUGCAUAUUUGGGUAGGAGAGAAAUUUAUAUGACAACUAAAAGCAUAACUGAAUAUUGUAAUCUCAGCAAUGUGGCAUAAUAAAGGAGUGUGGCAGAGCCAGCUACAAUCAAUGAGAUUGCUAAAACAUCUCAGUGAGCCUCUUCAACUUACCAAUCCUUUAUUCCUACUCGCAACUCUUUAAUCUUCUCAUCCUUCUGGCUAAAGCUUUUAGCAGUAUCCUUUUCUUUACCAUCAUCAUCCUCCUUCAAAGAUUCCUCAAAUCGCCGAUAAUCAUCUUCCUGUACACCAGAUAUUCAAGAACAUUAAUCACCAAUACCAGCAUUUAAAAUCAAAAUCAUCCCUCUUUACACGUUUCCCCAGACAAAGUUAACAAAAACAAGAUCUACAGACAAAUGCUUGCCCUUUAAACCGAAAUUUUUUGUCGAAAAAUGGCCGGAAAUACUGUAUGUUAAUGGGCAUGGUUGGCUGUUGAAUUAUCCCACUAUACAAGUAUUAGAGAGGAAAUUCGUGACCGCUCUGCAGUUAAGUUGAAAUUGGAUGCUAGCAAAUGAAAGACAAUGGCCUGUAUCAAGCAGGUCUUCUAUUUAAAUGCAGUCCAAGACCAUGUCUUUAUCUGAGAAAACGAAAAUUUAUCCAGGAAAUAAGAUGUUAGGUGAUGAGAAUAAAGCCACAAACAUGAAUCAAUCAAGGGUUCUAAUGAUUUUGAAUUAAAGAAUGCUUAUAAAGUACUCUUUUGCAUUGAUUGACCGGCCACCAUAAUCAGUUCUAUCAAGCUCCUUAUUUCUAGCAUACCAUCACCAGAACCGUGAAUAAGAAUAAAAAGAUAAAACAGCAGUAGCAUCCGUAAGUUUAUAAACCAAAAUGCAAAAUGGAAAACAUUGGUGAUAUCCUUGUAGAAUGGACUUGAUGUGGACCAAGUCAAGCAAGGAAGCAUGUUUCUACUUCGUCAAAAUUUAGUGACUUUUCCUUUUUUGAUAAACAGAAAACUGUUAAUAAAAUCUCAAUGCCUGGAGCAUACUUUGUUAGAUAAGAAUCUUCGUUCCAGUAUCCAAUAAAACUGAACUCAAAUGCAAUUCAUGGUAAUUCUUGAAAGCCAUUUUUCCAGGAUCCUCAAACUUUUGUGUUUGUAGCAAGAACUCUACGAUGAAACUUACUGACAGAUUGCGCGCCCUGAUACGAGCAGCAGCUUUGAUUGCAGCAAGCAGGUGAUCUUCCUCGACCAUACUCCUUUGCCUCCAAUACAUAGCAAUCUCUUGAUUAGUCACGCUCACCACUGUUGGUCGCUUUAUUGCUGGAUUGGCAGUACACGAAAACUUGGGUAAUGGUGGCAGAGGAGGAGGAGGUGGUGGAGUAGAGCCCAUCUUUAGCCUCGAACUAUGAGUUUCGCUUUUAGUUUCGAUUUGCAUCAUUUUGAAAAUUUCUAACCAAUUUUACUCAUGCAGAGAGCCCCUAACAAAUUUGAUCUGUUGUUUCUCCAAUUCUUAUAGUGGAGCUCAAGUCCUUGAGAGUUAAGACGCACAAGUUUCAUGAAUGUGCUGCAGCUAAUGAUUCAACUUCCAACCUAACUGUCAGAGAGACUAGGUGACCAUGAUUUGUCUUCUCUAGGCGCAACUCUUCUGCAUAAAUAACUUGCACAAUUCUGUUAGUCCAUACACUGUACAAGCAAGUGAGAGCAAAUGAAAAUCUGACUGACUUGAAAGAGAAAAGGAGCAAAAUCUGACUGGUAGAUGCAACCUUGACAUUUCCAGUGAAAGGGUAAGAUUGACAGCAUGUUGCUACUUACUUUCUCGAACCAAAUACGAAACAUCUCAUCUGCGUACGGUUAGAUGUCAAUAACCUACCAGUCCACAGGAGACACUCAAAUGCUGGACAUCGAAUGCUGCUAGAAACCAAGUUGGGAACUCUACUUCAAAAGCUUUCAAUUUUAUCAUAGUUUGCCUGAAAAUGAAAGAGACUGCACCUCGCAGGGAAAACAUUAACAACAUAGAGAUGGACGUAUCUACCUUAAUCACUCUUUAGACAUAUUUUAAUAACGUGCUGCCAUCAUCAUUUCUCAGCCAGUCGGCAGCUUCAAACAAAUCCAUCAAUUUCCUCAAGAUUGCAAUUGGAUUCUGAGCAGCUAAAUAUACCAACAAAACCAACCAGAACAUAACAAAAAAGAAGCCUUUAUUCCAACAAUUCCAUUUUUUACAAAACAGAUUCAAAAAUACACCUUCUAUAUCAAGACUCUCUAGAGUAUAGACGCCCUAAAGGCCACAAAAUACAAGGGAAGCACCCAUCAUCAUAAAACCCAAAACCCAAGGGAAAAAAAAUACAAUCUUGCUCAGGUCUCUGAAGUGAUCCUUAAAGCCUUGGUCUUGAAUCUGUACCUUGGAGCUCUAGGAAUAACCUGACUAGGUCCCAUAUGGAGCUGGCCCGGACUAUCAGUCAUGGGUGGCCCGUCAUCGUAAAUAUAACCGACCCGUUUGCCGCAACUAUUGCACAUGAUCUUGGUUCGAUUCCUUUGGAUGCCCCAAUAAUUGACUGUCUCGAAAAAAGGUACGAACUUGUUUUCCUUCUGGUAGCUGAAUUUGGAAGAGUCAAUCAUGGCAAAAGAAAGAGUCCCUUUAUUGCCUGCCUCAAAAUAGAAAUCCGGUGGGUAGAGAUGGAACGUGUGGAGGUUUAGAUUGGCUCCGCACUCUUUGCAGCUGUAGACCGAUGCCAUUUUUCGUUGCUUGUAUACCUUUGGCUGUAGAGAUGAAUGUGGUUAGAAAUUGCAAAUGGGUUUUGAAGGCUUAAACAGGUUAGAAAAUUGCCGUGGCCAAUCGUUGUCCGUGGAAAGUUCUAAGUUCUAGAUGGCAAUGCCGGUACGCGGCAGCAAAAUGGAGGAUGUUCUUGAAAGAAAUGGUUAAUUGUUUGCUAAAACUAUAAUUAGAUCUAUAAGUAUUGAAACAUUACAAUCAACCCCCUUGAUUAAACAAGGGUGGACUCUCCAUUUGGAAAGUAUAAAUGAACAUUUGACCAAACAAGAACAGAUAGAUGGAAGAAAAUGAACAAAAACCCCAUACAGAAGUUUUACAAAGCAAUCAAAUUACAAUUCUUUCAUACGUUUCAUUCUCAGGUAGAGCUGAAAGGUAAACCAAAUUACUUAAUAUUUGAAUGAAUUUGAUUUGGUGAGAGUUUGUUCAAGUUUGAUUCACUAACUAGUCAAAUAAAGUUUCAACAGUAUUUUGUGUUUAAUAAUAUUCAAAUUCGAUAAAAAAAAAUCAUCCAAUAUCAGUUCAAUAGAUAAAUAAAUCAAAAUUUAACAAAAUUUCAAAUUCAUUAAAAUAACUAAACAAAUUUAAACAUUAUGACGGACAAAACUGAUUUACACCUCUAAUAUCAAGUCACUUCUGUUUCAAAUUACACAUCAUUAGCUUAUGCCCUAGCUAGCCCAAAUCUUAAAAAACCAAAUAGUAAUUCUUUACCUCUGCUUUGCCUCUACUCCAAGAUGCCUAAUUCCCAAUUGAAAAAUAGGAAUGGUAAUUGAGGCGGGUGCUCAUGGAGGGCUAAUGGGGUGGUGAUUGAGAGGGCGCCGGGGAGGGGGGAGGGGGGGAUUUUUUUUCCCCAUUCGCCUCGUCCCCCCAUUCGCCCCGUCCCGCCACCUGUUAAAAUAAAUAAAUAAAUAUGUAUAUAAUUAUAUAUAUAUAAUAUUUAAUUUAAUUAGUUACAAACUUAUAAUAAUUAUAUUAUUAGUUAUAAGUAUUAUAUAAUAUAUAUUAAUAUAUGUAAUAUAAUUAAUAUUAUCAAUUAUACUAAUAAUUAUGCAUGUCUACUAAUAGAAAUUAUUAAUUAGUUAUACUAAAUUUACUAAUACAUUUAUACUAAAUUUCUAAUUACACUUAACACAAUAACAUUUUUUUCUAAAAAAAACACAAUAAUGCCUUAGUAAUUGUAUUUGUAUCAAAAGUAAAAACUUGACUACUUUAAUUGUAUUAGUUUUAUCAUGUUUGAUUGUAUUCAAAUAACUUUUUUUGAUUGUUUUAUGGGUUUUAAUUGUGAAAUUACAAUGGAUAAUAAUUUAGUGAUGUAUUAAUAUUUUAGUAUUUGAUUAUUUACUGAAAUUUAACUAUAAUAAAAUUAUAUGACAAAUUUUUUAUUAACAACGUGAGGGAAGUGGCACGAGGGAGGGGGGAGGGUGAGGGAUGGGGACGAAAGGAAUUAGUGGACAACGGUGCCAUUCCUAUUGAGAAACGUGUAAUUUAGCGCAAAUCUUUAAUAGGUCAAUGCAAUUAACCCUAGACGAAAAAUGGUUUAAACUCAUUAUUCGGGUUUGGAAACGGUCAUUGAGAAUUUAAUCAUGCUUAGCUUUCUUGAAAAUGCAAUCACAGUACUUUAAUAUUUGUCAUACUAUAUAAGGUUUAUAAGGUUUGUCAUACUAUUUGUCAUGCUUAGAUUUACUUUUUAUUAUUGUGGGUUUCUAUUGUAACUUGCAAUCUUGUUCUCAUGUCAACGAAUAGUUUAGUAUAAAAUAAAUUAAUGGUCAUGCAUGUUUCGGCAUUCCAAUAAUAAUGAAGCAUGGAAAAAUAACUUUUAUGUCAGUAAAUUAGCUAAACUGUUACAGGAUCUUAUCAUUAUGCUUGUUAGUAGUUACUGGUAUUUUAUGCUUUCAAGAAUUUUGACUGAUGAACUUGUAUUACAGGGCAAUUUUGGUUCUUAUUUUUAUUGAUUCUUUUUUUUUUUUUUUUUUACAGUUUUUUUCCAAAGAGAAACUUCAAAUCUCGAGUAAGGUAAUGAAUAGUAAGUCGUCUCAAAAUGGUACGAGGGCUAUAGGAGAAUAUUUUAAAGAAAGAAAGAAAGGAUUUAUACUUUUCAUCUUGUGACACGUGUUUGGAUAGCUUUUUAUUAAAAAAAUAAUUAUUUCAUUCUAUUGUAAGCACUUUUUUAAGAAUUUUUUUAAUCACAUUUUCACAUCAUAUACAUAAAGUCACAAAAAAUAUUAUAAUUAUUUUUUUAAAAAAAUACUAAGAUUGCAAAAAAUGUGGUGAACAAGUAGAAGAUCUUGAAAUAAAUAUUUUAUUGUAGUCACUUAGACAAAAAGGUAAUUACCACCUCAACAUAUUUAUGUAAAAACUACCCAAAAAAAUUGCAAAUAUAGUAGCUAGGAAUUACUAGCAAUUAUUUAUUGAAUAAAUUACUACUGAAAUUACGUAUGACUGGCAACGGCCAAUUCUGAUAGGACUUGCAAAUCGAAUCAAGCCUGUUUUUGCUUCUUCUACUUCCUUUUCUUCUUUCUUUUACAAAUUAUUGUCCUUUUUUUUUUUUUUAAUUGUUCGAUAAGACGCAAUUACACCCGGCGCAUAUUAGCCGCCCCGAAAGGUCGGUCAACAGAUGGCGUACAAUGGAGGGUCUCCCUUCUAUAAAUACCCCCCUAUCCCCUCAUUUCUGAGGUUUCUCAAGGGUCUCCUUCCUCCCGAGUGAGAAGAAGGGAGCGAUCGCUUCAGAUCUCAACUGAGGAAAGACUGGUAAUAACAGAAAAAAGGGAAGAAGGACAAAUUAAAUUUUAAUCCAAUUAAUGAAAAGCCGCCGUAACGUUUUAGCUGACAAUUCUUGUGUGGUUUGAGAAACCCUAAAAUUGGGUCUCGGUGCCUGCUACCAUGGAUGUACGAUUCCCGUACUCUCCGGCGGAGGUGGCCAAGGUCCGGGUGGUCCAGUUCGGCAUCCUCAGCCCCGAUGAAAUUGUAAUUUCUCUAAACUCCAUGCCCUUUUCGCAAAUUAUAUCUACUCCAGGGUUUUGGAUUUGGGUUUUGAUAUUGAUUUUCACUCUGCCUUACUGGAGCUGAGUUACUGUUUUUGGAUUGAUUGCAGAGACAAAUGUCAGUGGUGCAUAUAGAGCACAGCGAGACGACAGAGAGGGGAAAGCCGAAGAUAGGGGGUUUGAGUGACCCCCGGCUGGGGACAAUUGAUCGGAAGAUGAAAUGUGAAACUUGUAUGGCUAGUAUGGCGGAAUGCCCCGGUCAUUUUGGUCAUCUUGAGCUAGCAAAGCCUAUGUUUCACAUUGGUUUUAUAAAGACAGUGCUCAGUAUUAUGCGUUGCGUAUGCUUUAACUGCUCCAAAAUACUAGCAGAUGAGGUACCUUUGCACAAAUCAUUACUAAAAUUAGCCCUGAAUAUUUUGGAGUUUUCACAUGCUUAGUAAUUAAUUUUUCUUCAAAAGCAUGAGAAUUUAACAAGAGUAAUGCAUUAGACGUAUACCGACAAACUGUGUUGAUCUUUCUUUCCAACUUAAUUGGUGGAGAUAUUAGCAGACGAGAUAUCUGUAUGCAAGUUGCUAUAUUACAGUUUAGCUCUUAACAUUUGGAUGUUUGACAUGUUGAAUAAUCAUCUGUGGUUUUAAAAUUCCCUUGUUGCAGAGCAAUGAUAUGUAAAUCAAUGAACCCUGAUAAGUUUUCUUGCCAAUUCAGUCGUACAUAGCAAGUGCUGGUUGAAAAUUCGUAGGCCCACAGCAUAGCUGUAAAUAUUGCGCAACCUGCACCUAACUCGAGUUAUGGCUGCAUUCCUCUUGUCACAUGCACAUGGGCGCAUUCCCUGUUGCUCUAAAUUAGUGUAAUUUGAUGAAAUUCUAGGAUCUCAAAUAUUUGCUAUCUAGUUCCUUCUUUUAUAGGGUUAACUGCUUUAUAAAGCUGAUCAUAUGAAAUCAUUUACCCAUCUAUACCUAAUCUUUGCUUAGGCUUGGAAAGUUUGAUUGUCAACAAAUGUUAUGAAUUGCACUCUGCUUAGAAUUAAGGGAAGAUAUUUUUAGAGUCAGUAACAACUAUUAAAUGAUGUUAUGUGUUGUUCCUUUGAUGCAGAGGAUGCAAGAUAAAUGGAGGUGUCAAAAACAUUUAUGAUGGCUUCAGUUGGAAAAUCACUGUAUAGUUAUGCAGUUUGUUUUAGGUUAUAGGUGUUUGGAUGCUGAAUCUAUGGUACUGAAGAAUCUUUAUUUCCACUUAAUCAGCUCUUGCAUCAUACCCAUUGUUCUCGCUAUAUUUAGUUUCUCAGUGAUUGAUCUUUUUUGUAUCUAUAAAGAUGUAAUUGUUUUGUUUUUGUGGCUAGGAGUUUUAAAUCAGUUGAUUGUACAAAUGGUUCAUCUGUGACAUGUUCCUCGAUUCCAUCUAUAUGUGGUGUUUGGCUGUCCUUUUUUUUUGGCACUGGCAUUAGGCAGACCUUUGUGCAACAGGCAGCUACUUCACUUAAUACAUACUAGUGGAGGCAGGAGCUUUACUUCCAAUACUAUUUGAAAAUUAUAUUUUUAUACCAACUCUACCCCGGACAGAAAUGGUUUAGAAGGGUUCUUAUGGAUGAUUUAAAAGCAUAUCUGCUUAACAAUAGUGAAUAAAUGGGUUCCAUUAUCUUAACAGUGGUCUCUUCUUGUCGUAAAUACAGGAGGAUCCCAAGUUCAAGCAGGCACUCAGGAUAAGAAAUCCUAAGAAUAGACUUAAGAAGAUAUUGGAUGCCUGCAAAAACAAAAGUAAAUGCGAAGGAGGUGAUGAAAUUGAUGUUCAAGGUCAAGAUUCUGAAGAACCAGUUAAGAAGACACGGGGUGGUUGUGGUGCUCAGCAGCCAAAACUUACUAUUGAUGGAAUGAAAAUGGUUGCUGAAUACAAGGUUCAGAAAAAGAAAAAUGAUGAUCAAGAGCAGUUGCCUGAACCUGUUGAGCGAAAGCAACAGCUUUCUGCAGAAAAGGUGACUUGUCUUGGAGUCUAAUUGACUUUUGGGAAUGGAAUUCACCCGUAUCUGUUGGCUUUCUCUUUAUUGGGCAUGAAGGGUAUUUUUUUAACCCCUUCCGACUGUGGUGCUCCAUGGAACUGAACAUUAGUUUGCCUGUUUAUUCAGGUUCUUAGUAUUCUGAAAAGGAUAAGUGAUGAAGAUUGCCAGUUACUAGGAUUCAACCCCAAAUAUGCUCGUCCAGACUGGAUGAUUCUUCAAGUUCUUCCUAUACCACCACCUCCUGUUAGACCUUCUGUAAUGAUGGACACUUCUUCAAGGAGUGAGGCAAGCCAAUUUCUUCAUGCUUUGAAUUCUGAUUACCAGCUUAUUCUUACUCUAUGCUUUUACUUUGAUUGCACUGGUUGAGUUGCUUAAUUGGUAACAUUGCAAUCAGCCACUUCACCCAUGGACAGAUUUUAAUCAUCUAUUUGUUAAUGCAGGAUGAUCUGACUCAUCAGCUAGCUAUGGUCAUAAGGCACAAUGAGAAUCUUAAGAGGCAAGAGAGAAAUGGUGCACCUGCUCACAUAAUCUCAGAAUUUGCACAGUUAUUGCAGUUCCAUAUAGCUACAUACUUUGAUAAUGAACUGCCUGGACAGCCAAGAGUAUGAUUUUUUCUUUGUUAAAGCAAUUGAAGUUAAUGCGUGAAAAAUAUUGUAUCGACUUGAUUAGUCACUUUUCAGGCUACACAAAGAUCUGGUAGACCAAUUAAAUCAAUAUGUAGCAGAUUGAAAGCGAAGGAAGGUCGGAUUAGAGGCAACUUGAUGGGUAAAAGAGUGGACUUUUCUGCUCGGACUGUGAUUACACCUGACCCAACAAUCAAUAUUGAUCAACUGGGAGUGCCUUGGAGCAUUGCUCUCAAUCUGACAUAUCCAGAAACUGUUACUCCUUACAACAUUGAAAGGUCUUGUAAUUGCUUUUUCUGUUAACAGUUUUGCUUCUAUAUCAUGAUUUUGAAUAGACAACUGCACUCGAAUAUUGAACAGGUUGAAAGAGCUUGUUGAAUAUGGCCCGCAUCCACCACCAGGAAAAACUGGUGCCAAGUACAUAAUCAGAGAUGAUGGUCAGAGGCUUGAUCUUCGUUAUUUGAAAAAAAGCAGUGAUCAGCAUCUGGAACUUGGAUAUAAGGCAAGCUUCUGUAAUAUCUUGAUAAGAGUUGUGAUUUUUUGCUACUUCUGGUUAACUGUAUUGUUGUGGUGCAGGUGGAGCGGCACUUAAAUGAUGGGGAUUUUGUACUUUUCAAUAGGCAACCUAGUCUGCACAAAAUGUCUAUAAUGGGGCAUAGGAUCAAGAUCAUGCCAUAUUCAACAUUUCGUUUAAAUUUGUCGGUUACUUCACCAUACAAUGCUGAUUUUGAUGGGGAUGAGAUGAAUAUGCAUGUUCCGCAGUCAUUUGAAACUAGAGCAGAAGUUCUGGAACUUAUGAUGGUCCCUAAAUGCAUCGUUUCACCCCAAUCAAAUCGGCCAGUGAUGGGCAUUGUCCAGGAUACACUUUUGGGAUGCCGCAAGAUAACUAAAAGAGAUACAUUUAUUGAGAAGGUACUUGGUUUGUUUCAUUUCCUCUGUUUGGACCAGACACCAUCCUUCACUGUUUCUUUCUUGAAUCUGAACUCUUAAUUGGUCCUUAUUGUGCAGGAUGUCUUUAUGAACAUUUUGAUGUGGUGGGAGGAUUUUGAUGGGAAGAUACCUGCUCCAGCAAUCUUGAAACCAAGGCCUCUUUGGACAGGAAAGCAAGUUUUCAAUCUUAUUAUUCCAAAACAAAUUAAUCUCCAGAGAAAUGCGGCAUGGCAUCAAGAUGAUGAACCUGGGCCUAUAACUCCGGGAGACACUCAAGUUCGUAUUGAGAAAGGGGAGUUGCUUACCGGUACCCUUUGCAAGAAGGCACUUGGAACUUCCACUGGAAGUCUUAUUCAUGUUAUUUGGUAUGAUUACAAGUUUCUGAAAUCGUAACCUUUUGUCCACAGCUUGACUGUGACAGCUUGGAAAUAUUCUAUUGGCUUCAUGAUCUAAUGAGAUUCUUUGCUUUUCUUGAUUAACUUCUGGUUUCGCUAUACUAGUUUCAACAUGCAAGCAAUCUGUAUUCAGUAUUGUUGCUUAAUAGCAACAUACUGGGUCAGUGCGUGAAAAGUUCCAUGGUUUUUAUCCAUGAUCAAACACAGCUGCAACAUGAGAUAGUGCUUCUAUAUGGAACGAUGAAUUAUUUUAAUUGACUUGUACUAAUACAUGCAGGGAGGAGGUUGGUCCAGAUGCAGCUCGCAAGUUUCUUGGACAUACACAGUGGCUUGUCAAUUAUUGGCUUUUGCAGAAUGGUUUUAGCAUUGGAAUUGGAGAUACUAUUGCUGAUGCUCAAACUAUGGAAAAAAUCAAUGAUACUAUUUCAAAUGCGAAGAAUGAUGUGAAAGAACUUAUCAGGAAAGCUCAAGAAAAGGCACUGGAGGCUGAACCUGGACGAACUAUGAUGGACUCAUUUGAAAACAAAGUGAACCAGGUAUUUAUAUUUAAUGGACGAUCUUAUAUGCCUUUUGUAUGCUCUCCUAUCUUUUGAGGUUUGAGAUGUGCGAUCUGGUUGUCUUAGGUGCUGAAUAAGGCUCGUGAUGAUGCUGGAAGCAGUGCCCAAAAGAGCUUAUCAGAGAGUAACAAUCUAAAGGCAAUGGUUACUGCAGGAUCGAAGGGAAGUUUCAUCAAUAUAUCUCAGAUGACUGCUUGUGUGGGGCAGCAGAAUGUGGAAGGUAAACGAAUUCCUUUUGGAUUCAUUGACAGGACGCUGCCUCAUUUUACUAAAGAUGAUUUUGGUCCGGAAAGUCGUGGUUUUGUGGAGAAUUCAUAUCUGCGUGGGUUGACCCCCCAAGAGUUCUUCUUUCAUGCAAUGGGUGGUAGGGAAGGUCUGAUAGAUACGGCCGUUAAAACUUCUGAGACUGGUUACAUCCAAAGACGAUUGGUGAAGGCCAUGGAGGAUAUCAUGGUUAAAUAUGAUGGAACUGUCAGGAAUUCCCUGGGGGAUGUUAUUCAGUUUCUUUAUGGGGAAGAUGGCAUGGAUUCUGUGUGGAUUGAAUCACAGAAACUGGAAUCCUUAAAAGUCAAGAAAGGUGAAUUUGAUAGCAUGUACAAAUAUGAGAUUGAUGAUCCGAAUUGGAACCCUGAUUACAUGUUACCGGAAGCUGUGGAAGAUCUAAAGACCAUCCGGGAAAUCCGGAGUGUUUUUGAAGCAGAGUUUCAGAAACUUGAAGCUGAUAGGUUGCAACUAGGGACAGAGAUUGCAACCACAGGUGAUAACACCUGGCCUUUGCCUGUAAACAUUAGGAGACUUGUCUCAAAUGCACAGAAGACCUUUAAGAUAGAUUUCCGAAGGCCUUCAGAUAUGCAUCCCAUGGAGAUUGUUGAAGCAGUAGAUAAGCUACAGGAGAGGCUUAAGGUUGUUCAUGGUGAUGAUUAUCUUAGUGCUGAAGCUCAAAAGAAUGCUACCCUUUUCUUCAAUAUAUUGCUUCGGAGUGCCUUGGCGAGUAAAAGAGUAUUGAAUGACUACAGGCUUACUCGUGAAGCUUUUGAUUGGGUAAUUGGUGAGAUAGAGUCGCGUUUCCUACAGUCACUUGUCGCUCCUGGAGAAAUGAUUGGUUGUGUUGCUGCACAAUCCAUUGGUGAGCCUGCCACUCAGAUGACUCUUAAUACAUUCCAUUAUGCUGGUGUGAGUGCCAAGAAUGUUACCCUUGGUGUUCCUAGGUUGAGGGAGAUCAUUAAUGUGGCUAAGAAGAUAAAAACACCGUCUCUCUCAAUAUACCUGAAGCAUAAGGCAAGUGAAACAAAGGAGAAGGCAAAAAAUGUCCAAUGUGCUUUAGAAUACACCACCUUGCGUAGUGUUACACAGGCCACGGAAGUAUGGUACGAUCCAGAUCCAAUGAGCACCAUAAUCCCUGAAGACGUUGAAUUUGUGAAGUCUUAUUAUGAAAUGCCAGAUGAAGACAUCGAUCCUGAUAAAAUUUCUCCCUGGUUGCUGAGAAUAGAGUUGAAUCGGGAAAUGAUGGUAGACAAGAAGCUGAGUAUGGCAGACAUCGCGGAGAAGAUCAACCUUGAGUUUGAUAGUGAUCUGACUUGUAUAUUCAAUGAUGACAACGCUGAUAAGCUGAUACUUCGUAUUCGGAUCAUGAAUGAUGAAGCACCCAAGGGGGAGCUGAAUGAUGAAUCUGCUGAGGAUGAUGUCUUCCUUAAAAAGAUUGAGAGCAACAUGCUAACCGAAAUGGCUCUUCGGGGUAUUCCUGAUAUUAACAAAGUUUUUAUCAAACAAGCUAAAGUAAACAAAUUUACUCAGGAGGAAGGAUUUAAGACAGACUCCAAUGAGUUUAUGUUGGACUCAGAAGGUGUUAAUCUUUUAGCCGUUAUGUGCCAUGAAGAUGUUGAUGCCAGCAGGACGACAAGUAAUCACUUGAUUGAAGUUAUUGAAAUUCUUGGAAUAGAGGCAGUACGUAAGGCAUUGCUGGACGAAUUGCGUGUUGUCAUAUCCUUUGAUGGGUCUUAUGUAAACUACCGGCACCUUGCAAUAUUGUGUGAUACCAUGACUUAUCGUGGUCAUUUGAUGGCAAUCACUCGUCAUGGGAUUAAUCGAAAUGAUACUGGGCCAUUGAUGAGGUGCUCUUUUGAAGAAACUGUUGAUAUACUUCUCGAUGCUGCUGUUUAUGCGGAAACAGAUUACCUCCGGGGGGUUACUGAAAAUAUAAUGUUGGGUCAGCUUGCACCCAUUGGCACAGGAGACUGUGCCUUGUACCUCAACGAGGAGAUGUUGAAACAGGCUAUUGAGAUUUCUCUUCCCAGUUACAUGGAGGGUAACCUAGAAUUUGGGAUGACACCUGGUCGUUCGCCUUUUGGUGGAACGCCCUACCACGAGGGGAUGAUGUCUCCAGGUUAUUUGACAAGUCCAAAUGCCCGGUUGUCACCUCAUGCAGAUGCUCAGUUCUCUCCUUUUGUGCAAUCGAUGGGAUUAACUUUCUCUCCACAAUCAUCUCCAGGUUAUAGCCCAUCAUCCCCUGGAUACAGCCCCUCAUCCCCUGGUUACAGCCCCACUUCUCCAGGUUACAGCCCUACAUCCCCUGGUUACAGCCCCACUUCCCCUGGUUAUAGUCCAACUUCUCCUACUUAUAGUCCCAGUUCUCCUGGAUAUAGCCCAACUAGUCCUGCUUAUUCUCCAACUAGUCCUUCAUACUCACCCACUUCUCCCAGCUACAGCCCCACAUCUCCCAGUUAUAGCCCAACAUCUCCAAGUUAUAGUCCUACUUCUCCCAGUUAUAGUCCGACCUCUCCGAGUUAUAGCCCCACCUCCCCAGCAUACAGCCCGACCUCCCCAGCAUACAGCCCGACCUCCCCAUCUUAUAGCCCCACAUCACCUUCUUACAGCCCUACCUCACCUUCUUAUAGCCCUACCUCACCUUCUUAUAGCCCAACCUCACCCUCUUACAGUCCAACCUCUCCAUCAUACAGUCCCACAUCACCUGCAUAUAGUCCAACUUCUCCGGGUUACAGCCCCACCUCCCCAAGUUAUAGCCCUACCUCACCGAGCUAUAGUCCCACGUCUCCUAGCUACAAUCCCUCGGCAAGGUACAGCCCUUCACUUGCAUACUCCCCAACUAGUCCGAAGCUGUCACCUUCAAGCCCAUACAGUCCUUC